UACAAUUUGAUACCAUUUGGGGAAGGUCGCAGGAUCUGUCCAGGAAAGAACCUCGGGAUAAAAACGGUGGAGAUCAUGCUUGCCAACCUUCUUUACUCCUUCGACUGGGAACUUCCAACGGGUAUGACGAAGGAGGAUAUCAACAUGGAUGAGGCGCCGGGCAUUGCUGUGCACAAAAGACAUGCUCUCCACCUUCUCGCCACCAGACAUAUAUAGCGGCAUCUAUAGCUAGUUAGCUACUAUACUAUAGAUAAUAUAAAAUUAGUAUUUACAAUAAAUAUUUUAGCCCUUGGAUGUCUAGAGUUGUCUAUUUGGGAGUUCUAUUAGUAUGGAUCUAAGAGCCAAAAGAUCUGUAAGAAUAACUAUUUCUCUACUAUAUAUCUAAAAUAUAGUAGCUUAACCGAGUGUGUGUAUAUAUAUAAUGCCUCUCACUGAGAUGUACUCUUAUUUAUCUAUCAUUGUACAUCUAUCUAUCAUUUUUCUAUCUACCUAUAUCAAUUACGUAUCUUACUAGCUAUCUUAAUUGUACAAUAUGCAAAUCAUAUGUAUGUACAAGCUUGAUCUCACACCUUCUCAGGCGUACAAAAACUAAUUUAUCAAUAUUUAAAAAUAGGGUAGAAUCACAUAUUCUACGUUAUUAUGUUAAGACAAUUUGCUACAGCAGUGUUUAAGAAAAAUCGAGGAAGUAUUUGGCUGUUGAUACUUCCGAUUGAAUAUUAGUAUACUAAUUAAAUAAAGAUUCCUUCAAUUAUCAAGGGUUUAAAAUGUUUGGAGCAUUUAAACGUGAGGCCGUUGUUUUGAUGCAUUCAUCUAGGAUUUACUGGCUCAAAUAAAAAAAGACGGGCCGAGCUGGAGCACGGCCACGGACAGGCUUAGUCCGUCCAUUAUUACACUACCUAUUGUUGGGCUGCGGCCGUUGAGCCCGUCGGCCCGAGGCUCGACACGGCACGAACUCAAGGCCUUUGCCUCAGACCUUGGGGUAUUAGUUCCUCCCUAGACGCUCUCCUUCCGAAGUCUGCCAAUAAAGACCUUGGGAAGAAUGGGUUGGUCCCUAUUGGAUCAAAACCUCGCAAUUGGUCAGCUUUUUUAAAAAAAUUAAAAAUUAAAAAUAAAAAAUAUAAUUUUUUAAAAAAUAAAAUAUUCACUAUUUUAUAAAUUUUUUUCUAAAUUUCAAUUGCUUUGAUCAAAAUAUAAAUUUAAAUAGGAGUAAUUUAAUUUUUUUAAUUUUUAUUUAAAAAAAAUAAUAAUAAUAAGAGACCGGUCAGCCUGAUUUGACAUGGCCAGUGACUUUCAGACCAGAGGGCCGUGCUAGGCCAGAGGCUUGGAAGAUCGACCCUGCACGACUUGGCCAGGAUUUGAAAGUCGAACCAACUCCUAGCUAGCUUAUUUUGAUCUGAAUAAGGAGGUGUUCGGCUUAGCUUUUAAAAAGCUCUUUUGGGUUGAAAAGUGAUUUUCGGCCCAAUAGAGCGUUUGGCAAAUUUAUUUUUAAAAUCUGAUUCUGCUUCUCAGAAUCAGAAAACUGAUUUUGAAGGCCCAGAAUCAGAAGCUGAAAAAAGCUGCUUCUUGAAAACUGAUUCUAAUUUUGGACUCAAAUAUUAAAUUUUUAUUUUUAUUUUAAAUUCAAUGUUUAAAUUAAAAUUUAAUUAGUUUUUUGUGCAUAAACGUUAUAUAGUUUUUACAUUGAUUUUAAUAUCAAACUUUAGUACUAUAUUUAUAAUUCGAUAAGCGAUCAAUUUUAUAUUUAAAAAUAUUCAAAAUAUGAUGGUGGACUUUUAAUUCUAACAAAUAAGUAUUCUAGAAUUUAUUAAAUAGUUUAAUAUAUUCUUUUUUGAAAUGAAAUUAUUAAUUGAAUAAAAUCGAUGGACGCUCAAUUCUAUCUUUGUCUGGAAUAAAAUUAAAAUAUAAAAAAAAAAAUUACGCUUUUGAUCCUCAAACUAUAAGGCAAGUGGCAUUUUAGUCCUCAAAUUUUAAUGAGUUAUAUUUUCUUGCUCAAACUAUGAGGCAUAUAAAGCUUUAGUUUCUAAAUUUUAAUUAGCUGCAAUUUUAGACUCGAACUAUGAAAUAUAUAAUAUUUUAAUCUUCAAUUUUCACUGUUAUUAUAAAUAUAAUUUAUUAUUUUUAUAAUUUUUUAAUUUUUUAUCAUUCAUAUAUUUUAUUAUAAAUAUGUAGAUCGAAGGAUUUGGAGAUUUUUUUUUUUUUAUAUGAAUCCCAUCUAAUUCUUCUCGUUUAUUAUAAAAAAUUUAAAUAUAUAUUUUUUAUGAAUAAUUUUGAAAUAAUUUUAACUAUAUGUAUUAAAUAUAAAUUUUAAUUUUAUAAUAUUGAUCACUUAGAUAUAAAUCGUAUAAUAAAAAAUAAAAAAAAUUGAUAGAGUUUAAAUUAUUUAUUUAUUUUAACAAAUUUAGUUGUGAGAAUCAUAUGAAUUAUAUUAACUAAAUUUAUAAAGCUAAACGACGCAUUUAAAUUUUAAAGUCAAAGUAUUAUUGACUGGCUCAUAUUUAAUAUAUAAAAAAGUUGGAUAGUAAAAAUAAAAUUUUGAAAGCUUGAAUAGCUAAUUUAAAAUAAUUCAUAGUUCAGAAAUACUUUGUAUAUUUUAACUUUAAUUUUAAUAUCAAUCUUCGAUGCCAUAUUUAUAGUUUAAUGAGUGAUUAAUUUCACAUUUAAAAUUUUUUGAAAUAUUCAAAAUAUGAUUGGUCGACUUUUAAUUUUAACAAUUCGGCAUUCUAAAAUUUAUUCGAUAAUUUAACAUUCUUUCCUCAUAUGACUUCGUUUGGAAUAAAAAUAAAACAUAAAAAGAUAAAUUACACUUUUGGUCAUCAAACUAUAAGAUGCGUGAAACUUUAGGCCUCAAAGUUUCAUGUAUUACACAAUUUCUUGCACAAACUAUAAGGCACGUAAUGUUUUAGUCCUUAAACUUUAAUUAGUUGUAAUUCUUGGUUCUAAUUAUAAGGCAUAUAAUAUUUUAAUUCUCUACUCUUACUGCUGCUAUAAAUAUAAUUUAUUAUUCUUAUAAUUUUUUUCUUAUUUAUUUUAUACUUCUUAUAUUUUUAUUCUUAUAGUUUUACUAUAACAGCUGUUGUGUCUUCUUCAACUUCUUUUAUUUAUAUUUUAUUUUUAUUCUUUAACUCUUUUUUUAUUUCUUUCGUUGUUUCUUUUUUUUAGCUUUAUUUUUUUUUGUAAAAUUUUUUAUCUUUAUUUAUUUAUUUAUUUUUGUGGAAUCGAUUCGCUGCAACGCGCGGACACCUUCACUAGUAGUAUAAUUAAGUCUUACAAAAAAAAUGAUUGCAGCACAUCGUAUGUGAUAACUAGAGUGAGGCUGAUAUAUAUGCUUUUGGAAAUUCGGAACCCUCCGUACUUUCAAGUCGUUUUCGAUGUUGGAAUUUUCGAAUCGACGAUCGACUCCGUUAGACUUGAUUUAGAGUAUUUAAAGUAGCUAGAAAAAAAAUUUUGUGAUUUUUCGAUAUCAUUUUCCUAAUAAUCGAACGGGCUCAAAAUCAAUAAUUUUAAUGGCCGUGGUGAGUCGUUUGCAAAUUUAAUGGUGUAAAUAUUCAAAUCACGUAAAAUUUUGAUAGAAAUUUUUUUAUACUAUAUAAAACAAAAACAAUUUCUGAUCUAAAAUUUCAAAGCCAUAUCAUCACAUUUUGUAAAAUUUUUAUUUUCAGCCGUUGAUUUUGAGCCCCUUCAAUUACUAGGCAAAUGAUAUUGAAAAAUCGUAAAAUUUAUUUUCUAUAUAUUUCAAAUACUCUAAGAGCAUGUUUGGUUCACCUAUUUUAGAUUAUGGAAUCGGAAUGGAAUUCAUUGAUUCCGAUAGUUGCCGUUUGUUUUAUAGAAAUCGGAUUCCAAUUCCCAUUCCACUCCGGAAUGGAAAUGGCCAAAUCUAUUUAUAAUCCAAUUCGGUUUUAAAUUCCGGAUUGGCUCAUUCCAAAGUAAACUAUUUAAAAUUUUCUUUCAUCAACACCUACCUCCUCUCCCUUCAUCACUUUUCUCUCUCUUAAUCAAAAUCCUCUUUCAAAAAUUUUAAAUUUUCAUUUCGAUUUCCAUUCCAAUAAUGAACCAAACAUUUUUGGAUGAUUCGUCAUUUCAUUUCCUAUUCCAAAACAAUCCAAUUUUAUUUUUCAUUUCUAUUUCAAUCAUGAACAAAACAUGCCCUAAAUUCAAUCUAACGGAAUCAAUUGUAAAUUUAAAAAUCUCACCAUCAAAACGACUUAAUGGUACAUAAUAAAAACGAUUUGAUAGUACGGAGAUGUACGGGUGUGAUUUAAUUCUUUUCUGGGGCCCACUAGAUUUAACCUAGUGUGUGCCAGUUUCAACAUGCGUCCUCAUUUCUCCAUCCACUACGUAGCAAUUGCUAUCUUCUAUAUUCAGCGCGUGAGACUGUGAGAGCAACUGCAUAAAAGGAGUCAGAUACGUAUACAAGUGUCCCUGAUUUGAUAUACUGUACCAAUAUUCUAAAAAUAUAGGUAGACAAAAAAAAAAGUGUAUGUUCUGCCCAUUUAACUUCGAGUCCGAUACGAAUGAGUAUUUAAAUUAUUAAUAUAUUUAUCGGAUCUAUUUGAACAGAUUUGAAUAGUAAAUAUUUGUUUACUAUCCGCUUAAAAUUAGGUACGUAUCGGAUACGUGUUAAAUCUAGAUCAAAUAUAUGUACCCGCAUGCGUAUUUUUUUUUAUAGACUAUUAAAUAAUUUUUGAAAAAAUCAUAAACUUUUUAUUAUAGAAAACUCGCAUUCUAAUGAGUUGCACCCAGGUAGAGAGAUCGGAGAGGUAAAGAGAGCGGCUAGAGUUUGAUUUUUUUUCUUUUUUUACUUUGUUCCUUAAUUCCAGCAAUAAAUAGAGAUUUCUAUUUAGAGAGAAAGAUUCAAACAGUAAUCAAAAGUGGUUAGAACUAAAAAAAAUAAGAAGUAAAAAAAAAAAAAUUUAAAAAAGAAUAAGCAUAACGGCUAGGUUUCACUGAGAUGAAAAUGCACAAAUACCCUUUAUCUAUAAGUUCUAUAAAAAUUAAUCCCUCAACUUUAAAUUUUUUUUAUUUACUAUUGCAUAUUUCACUCCGAAUCAGAGUUCGGAUUUAAAAACUAUUCCGGACCGGUCGGAUCCAAGUCCGACCCAAAAUUUUCAUGAAUUUUUUUAUCCAUAUAUUAUUUAAAUAACAAAAACGUGAAUAAUUUAGGCCUCCUCUAAUAUCUUCUUAAUUUUUUUUAAUAUUAAUUUUAUAUAACUAAUAUAUUGAUAGAAAGAUUCUUUUUUUCCUUCGUAUUUUUAUAAUUGAUUAACUUGGAUAUAAACAAAACAUCCUAAACAUAAUAUCCGUAGGCAAGAACCACAAAAAUAUAGGAGCCUUAUCCAUAUGGAAAUGAUUUUGCAACCAACUUUUAUUAAUAGAUUCAACUAUAGUAUAUAAAUACAAGGAUAAAUCAAAACAUGUAGCCUUUAUGAGUAGGGCACAGAAUUACGACGUGUAGAGCAUGAACAAAAUUUUAUGGGCCCCAGACAAUUUUACAUUUUUAUGGGCCCCAAACAAUUUUAUUUGGGGAUUGCUCGGAUGGGCGCUGUGUGGCGGGUGGCGCUCAUCCGAGCCACCCAGCAAAAAUAGUUGAAGAGAGUCUCCACGCCAGUUGAAGGGGUCUCCAUGUCAUUUUAACACAGCAAAGGGUCGAAUGGGAGGAAUUCUACAUUGUCACACUUGCACCACGUCAUCAAUAACAAGCCAAUCACAUUCAUCCUUUUCAAACAAAAGUACAAUAAAAAUACUUUUUUACAAUCAUAAUGGGACAUAUAUUCUUAAAAGGAUUAAUUUGAUUGGUUUGUUACGCCACGUCACUAAUAUACCCGUUGCAUUCUAGAAUUUUUCGUCGAAUGGGCACCGCUCUCCGCACGGCGCCCAUCCGAGCAAUCUUCAAACCUGUUUGAGCAUUAUGUUCAUAAAAUUUUUAUGCGUACAGCACAAAUUGGGUUAUCUUGAUGCCUACCCUGCUACACAUGAGUUUUUAUGUGGGCUAGAGUAUCCGCCAUAUAACAAUCGUACUAGUGAAAUACUCACGCGAUGCUGCAGAUAUAAAAAUAUUUUUAUAAUAAAUUUUAUUUUUUUAAUAUGUUUAUAUAGUUUUAUAAGUCUAAUUAUUAAUAAAAUAAAAAUUAUAAAAAAUAAUUUAAUCGUUAAAUCUAUUUAAAUAAAAGUCGAUAAAAUCGGUAUAUGUGCAAAGUAAAUUUAUACAAUAAUUUAUUUUAUAAAUAUUUAUAUGAAAAUAAUUUGAGAUAAAUCUAUCAAAAUAAUUAAAAAAAUCAAUAAAUAGAAGAAAAAUAAAAAUGUAAAAGAAAUUGUUUAAUAACAUUAAUUAUAUAUACAUAGAAAUACAUUAUAUUUCGAAAAUUUUACUUCUAAAAUUUAAAUGCUCUAAUUUUUUUAUACAACGAUAUUUUACUUGAUUUAAAUUGUAUCUAUUUGGUUAGAUUUUAUUACGCAAUUUAUUAUGCGUAUUAUUAAUAAAAUUAAUUAACUAUAUUCAUAGAAUUUAGAGAUUUAAAAUUUAAAUUAAUUUCAUAGAGUUUAGAUAUUUAAAAUUUUAAAUUUUAAAUUUUAAAAUUUGAAAAUAAAUAUUAUAAAUGAAAUAUAAAAUAUAAAAUUUGAAAAUUUGGAAGUAUCAAAAUUUUAAAUUUUGAUGUCAAUAUAUAUAUAUAUAUAUAGAACUAGACUACUAUCCUAUUAAUAGCAUCAAGUCAUUUGUGCUACCAAGUUUUUGGUCAUUGGAUUAAGAGACGUACGAUUAGGAUGAUGUGGGCCCCAUACCCGACCCAAUUCCACCCGCUACCAGGGAUCAUAAGUGCGCUUACUGGUGGUGCGCUUGUACGGAUACACCGGGUGCACGUAUUAAUUUCCCUCUCGAGCAAGAGACCCCGUAGACGAGGGUUCUGGGGAGAGGUUUUAUCUCCUCGGCGCGAAGAAUCGCGGGGCACGACUCUGUUAUAUCCCCGGACAAUCCGCAACCACCGAUGAUGAAAUUGCUCUGAGGUCGGAUGGCGGUAAGGAUGAUGGGUGCUUCCGGCAGCGACGCCCGAGGUAAAAGAAAUGUAAGUNUAUAUAUAUAUAUAUAUAUAUAGAGAGAGAGAGAGAGAGAGAGAGAGAGAGAGAGAGAGAGAGAGAGAGAGAGAGCGUGUGUGCUAUUAGGAGCAGGAGGCCUCCGUGCUUCUAAGCCGUUUUUGAUGAUGGAGCUUUCGAAUCGACGAUCAACUUCGUUAGACUUGAUCUAGCAUAUUUGAAGUAUCUAGAAAAUAAAUUUUGUAACUUUUCGAUAUCAUUUACCUAACGAUCGAAAGCGUUGAAAAUCAACGAUUGAAAAUAAAAAUCUCACAAAAAGUUGUGAUAUAGUAUUAAAAUUUUCGAUCAAACAUAUUGAUCUUGCUGUAAAUAGUAUAAAGAAUUUUCUAUCAAGAUUUCAUCUGAUUUGAAUAUUUCUACAUCGUUAUACUUGCAAACGGUAUACAUCAACCAUUAAAAAUUGUUGAUUUUGAAUUCUUUCGAUCACUAGGAAAAUGAUACCGAAAAAUCACAAAAAUUAUUUUCUAAAUAGUUCAAAUACGCUAGAUCAAGUCUAACGGUGCCGAUCGUUGAUUCGAAUGCUCUAUCAUGGAAAACGGCUUAGGAGCACGAAGGCCUCCGUGCUCCUAAUAGCACACAAGACCUACUAUAUAUAUAUAUAUAUAUAUAUAUAUAUAUAUAUAUAUAUAUAUAGAGUCCGGCUACUAUACUCUUAUGAAUACGAUUGCCCUCAUACUCAUAAGUUGUUUUUGAUGAUAGAACUUUCGAAUCGACGAUCCAUACCGUUAAACAUUAUCUAGAGGAUUUAAAACUUCUGGAAAUCAAAUUUUAUAAUUUUUCGACAUCAUUUACCUUACGAUCAAAAUCUCACAAAAUUAAUAAUUUUUAGCAGCUGAUAUGGGAUAGUUGCUAGUUUAACGGUGUAAAAGAAUUAGAAUAUGUUGAAUUUUUUAUAGAAAAUUCUAUUCACUACCUAGAUAAAGAUUAAUAACUCCGAUCUUAAAUUAAAGAAUCCGAUCAUCCAUUUUUAGGACGUCGUUUGAUUUUGACCAUUCAUUUUAUGUCCGUUUGAUGGGCUUUAUUAUGAUUUCGAAAAAUUACGAAAUUUAUUUUUUAGAAGUUUCAAAUACUCUAGAUCAUAUUUAACGGAGUGGAUCGUCGAUUUGGAAGCCCCAUCAUCGAAAACAACUUAUGAGUACGAAGGGUCCAAUACUCAUAAGAGUAUAGUAGCCCUAAUAUAUAUAUAUAUAUAUAUAUAUAUAUAUAUAUAUAUAUUAAAGUAGAACCCUUAGUGUAAGAUUAACAUGUGUCUUUCUAUAUACUUGUCACGUGUCAAGCUCAAAUAUAGAAUAACAAUUUUAUUAGAAACACUAUUAAAUCAAAUUAUACCAAUUAAUUAUAAUUAUAUAUACAAUCAAAUCAAAUUAAAUCAAAUAAAGGUUUAUCAUGCAUCUUUCUAUAUGGUUGCCGCUUGUCAAACUCAAAUAUAGCAAUUAGAUGGUUAAAAAUAAAAUUUUAUUAGAAAACAAUAUUAAAUCAAAUUAAAUAUAAUUAUAUAUACAAUUAACAAAAAAUUUAUUAGGAAACACUAUUAAACACUAUUAUUAUAAUUAUACUCAAAUAUAUAUAGAAUAAAAAUUUUAUUAGAAAACACUAUUAAAUCAGAUUAAAUCAAAUUAUACCAAUUAAAUAUAAUCUAUUCUAUUUACUACAUACUAAAGUAGAACCCUUGGUAUAAAAUUGACAUGUGUCUUUCUAUAUGUUUGCCACGUGUCAAACUUAAAUAUAGAAUAAUAAUUUUAUUAGAAAAUACUAUUAAAUCAAAUUAACAAAUUACACCAAUNCUAAAAUUUUAUUACAAAACAAUAUUAAAUUAAAUCAAAUCAAAUUAUACCAAUUAAAUAUAAUUAUAUAUACAAUUAAAGAGAAUUUUAUUAGGAAACACUAUUAAACACUAUUAAAUUAAAUUAUAAUUAUAUAUACAAUUAACUAGAAUUUUAUUAGGAAACACUAUUAAACACUAUUAAGGCUUAGUUUGGCAUUGAGACCUAUCUAACGGUAUUAGAUAGAAUAGAGUUGAGGAAAAAGCAUAUAGGGAUAUGCUUCUGCGUUCUCCAGUGGGACCGCAGAAAAUAUGUUGUAACCGACUCAUCGCGAUAUGCGGAACGCAAUAUUAGUUACGGAAACAAAUAGGGUAUUUUUCCAACGUAUUUUCUCACCGCACGUAACGCAAUUUCCUCAAAAUCCCAAACGAAGCCUAAAUCAAAUUAUAAUUAUAUAUACAAUUAAAUUAAAUUAAAUCAAAUUAAAUAUUUAUCAUGCAUCUUUCUAUAUAUUUGCCAUAUGUCAAACUCAAAUAUAGCAAUUAGAUGGUUAAAAAUAAAAUUAUAUUAAACACUAUUAAAUCAAAUUAAAACAAAUUAUACUAAUUAAAUAUAAUUAUAUAUACAAUUAACUAGAAUUUUAUUAGGAAAUACUAUUAAACACUAUUAAAUCAAAUUAUAAUUAUAUAUACAAUUAAAUCAAAUUAAAUGUUUAUUUCAAAAAUUAUAAUUUUUCAAUAAUUCAACUCUAUCAUUUUAUUUUUUAAAUAAAUUUAGAUUUUUUUCUAAAAAAUUUUACUAAUAUUAUGAUAUUUAUUAUUUUACUUAUUUAACAAAUUAUCUAUAUUGCUAUUGGAGCAGAUACUUUUCAUCUUCAUGCAACAAAAUUUUUUUUUUCCUUCAUAUUUUCUUGAAGAUCAACAUCUAUAUUUAUUUGAAUCUUGAAAGUUGGUAUAUUUCUUAUAUAUAUACGUGUGCUUACUUUAAUUUGUGUUAAACAUGAAAGUUUAGUUGAUCUCAUUAUAUGCUUAAAUAUUAAUGUCGUUUGUAAUUUUUCAUAUCAAUUUGAGUUUUCAUUUUGUUUUGCACAUCAAUAUGUAAAUAUAAAUUAUUUCGCAGACUAAUUCAUAGAUAAUAGAGUAUGGUUGAAUUUUGUUCUUUACUUUGGUCCAUAAUGUAGAUAAAUAGAUUUUCAUUUUCCGCCAAAAUAUCUUGUCCUAGUAAUAUACCUCUUAUUGUUUUAGUCAAAAUUAUUGAGGUGUGCCCCACCCAUGUGGCUUGUUAAAGCCAACUCUUCGGGUCUAUGUAAAGUGUGGUGUUGUUUAAUAAUUAGGGUUGAAAGGCAGAGCAGUAUUACGUCAAAGUCUUUUUUUGUUGGAAAAUUAAAAAUUAAAAAUUAAAGAUUUUAUUUUGGGAGACAAAAAUAUAUUUUAACUGUACUGCUGCAGUAUCUAGUUAAGUUUUUGCGGCUAAUUAAAGUCCUCUAUGAUUUAUGUGGCUGAAGUUGAAAAUAGAAGUCAAACAUGGGGGGCGCAGAUACUGUAAAUACAUAGCAUACGCAUGAACUCUUUACUUCACACCUGAAGCACCUCCAAAUUAAGUUUCUAAUGGCUCUUCCUGACAUGAUUGCCUCCCUGCAGCCUUUCCUUCUUGUUCUCCUACUGCUCCUUCUUCUACUCAUCGCAAGAAGAAACAAGAUCAGUCCAUCACUAAAACUUCCCCCAGGCCCUCCUAAGCUCCCAUUGAUCGGCAACCUCCACCAGUUAGGGAGUCUCCCCUGGCGCUCCCUCUCUCGGCUCUCGCAACAAUACGGGCCUCUCAUGUAUCUAAAACUCGGCAGUAGGCCGACCAUCGUGGUCUCCUCUGCCAACAUAGCCCGGGAGAUCCUAAAGACGCACGAUCUGGAGUCCUGCAGCCGACCGUCCCUCACCUCGUAUGCAAAGCUCUCCUACGGAUCCUCGGACAUCGCCCUUUCAGCGUAUAGUGAGAAGUGGAGAGAGCUCCGAAGAGUUUUCAUCAUCGAACUUCUCAGCAGUAAGAAGGUCGCCUCGUUUCGAUCCAUUCGAGAAGAAGAGGUGGAAAGAACUAUGAGCUUCAUAUCUGACUGCUCAAACAGUUCUCUCCCAGUCGACUUGAGCAAAGAACUGAUAGCGCUUACGAGCACUAUCACCUGUAGAAUGGCUUUUGGAAGGACCUACCAAGAUGUUAGCAGCAGGUUGCAGACGAUUCUAAAAGAAACGGUUGUCUUGCUCGCGGGCUUUUUCAUCGCAGACUACUUGCCUAUCAUCGGAUGGGCCGAUUGGCUCACAGGGAUGAGAGCGAGGCUCGAGAAGAACUUUACCGAUCUUGAUCGGCUCUACCAACAAGUCAUCGACGAGCAUCUCAAUACACUGCAGCAGCAUGACUCGGGUGAAGACUUUGUGCAUAUAUUACUGCGAAUGCAAAAGGAUGAGAAAAGUCUAACCACAGACCAGAUCAAAGCAGCCAUUUUGGUAAGAAAAAUUUUCCAUACCGAAUCACAUAAAACAUUUUUCUUUCGAAAGAAAUCAUUUAUAAAGAACAAUAAAUGUAGCAAUAAGUAUGUAGGCCUAACAAUCUCUAUUCAUACUCUAGGGUACUCAGGAAUUAUCAGUAGAUUUGCGGGUAUUGGGCAUUAAUUAUUUGUGUCCAAAAAAUUAGUGGCAAAAUAAGUAGGUUCAAAUAUUUGGAGGAUCACGCAUACCAGCAUAUACAUAUAUUUUUUUUAUGAAAUAAGUGAAUAUUUAUUUUAUUUUAUCUUAUCUCUAGGAUUGUAAUUUUAAUUUUUCUUAGUGUUAUUUUAAAACUCUAUAUUAUCUUCUAUAUAUUGUGAUAAUUUAAAGGCCUAUUUGUAUAAAAAAAUCCAUAAAUUUUGAGAUUUUGCCAAACUGGGCCGCCUUUUUUCAUUUUGCAGAUUGGGUACGAAUUUUCAGCAAACUGACCAAAAUACUCUUAUUACUUUUUCUCUCCCCUUUUUCUCUCUACUAUUCUUUUCUCUUGUUUAUUUUUUUUUUCUCUUGCCAAAAAAAGUAGAGGAGGCAGAGGCGAAUGCAGAAACGGUCCGCCUCGUCUCUCACCCUCAUGCUCUCGUCCUUGCCCUUCCCCUCGCCCGCGCAACCCCCACCUUCCUCGCCUUCGACCCCACCGAGGCUGCACCGCGACUCUUUUUUUUUUUUUUUCCUCUUCGACCCUCAUCCACCGUCUCCGAUAACGACGCCUCUCUUGCCCUUUCCCGCCCUUCUUGUCUUCUCCCUCCUCCUCUGUCGCAUCCGACGACGACACAUCUUUGCCGACACCGACACUGUGGAGGUCGCUGCGGCGCUGCAGCCUCGGAGUGGGUGUUCCUUAGCGGCGUCGUCGCCGGCGCCGUGACUGUUGGCAGAGAGGAGUGACUAAAAAAAAUUAUAGAAGAAAUAAGAAAAAAAAUAAUGAUAAAAAAUUAUACAAAAAAAAAGAUGAAGAUGAAAUUGCAAUGUUAAAAUAAAAGUAUACUGUUUUAAAAAAACGUUGCACUAUUAUGGACAUAAGUUAUACUACUUAAUAUAUAAACUGCAGCUUUAAGAUGAUAAUUACACUCUUUAAAUAAAAAUUGUACUUUUUGAGAGAUAUUUACACUAUUUCUUCUCGUAUUGCAUUUUUUCAGAUGUAAAUUGCAUCCAUUAAGAUAAAAAUUAUACUCUUUAAACGAAAGUUGCACUCUUUGAGAGAUAUUUAUUUUGUUUCUCCUUUUGUUGCAGUACUCUUUGAGAUAUAAACUGCAUCCCUUUAAGAAAUAUUUAUACUGUUUUUCCUCUUGUUGUACCGUUUCUUCUCUUGUUGCACUAUUUCUUUUCUUGUUACACUAUUUUUUUUCUUAAAGGGUGCAGUUUAAGAGAAAAAAUAGUGUAACAAGAGAAAAAUAGUGCAAUAAAAAAAAAUAAUGCAACAAGAGGAGAAACAAUAUAAAUAUCUCUUAAAGGGGUGCAGUUUACAUCUCAAAAAGUGCAAUAAGAGAAAAACAGUGUAAAUAUCUCUAAAAGAGUGUAAUUUUCAUUUAAAGAGUGUAACUUUAAUCUUAAUGGAUGCAGUUUACAUCUGAAAGAGUGCAAUAAGAGGAGAAAUAGUGUAAAUAUCUCUUAAAGAGUAUAAUUUUCGUUUAAAAAGUGUAAUUUUUAUUUUAAAACUGCAGUUUAUAUCUUAAGUAGUGCAACUUAUAUCCAUAAUAGUGCAAUAUUUUUUUAAAACCGUGUCAUUUUAUUUUAACUGUGCAAUUUUAUUUUUAUCUUUCUUUUUCUAUAAUUUUUUAUCUUUAUUUAUUUUUCUUGCUUCUUCUCUAAUUUUUUUUUAUCACACCUCUCUGCCAGCGCCAGCGACGACGCAGCGAAGGACCCCCCGCUCCAAGUUGGCAGCACCGCAGCGACCUCCACGGUAUUGGCGUCGUCGUUGUCGUCGGACGGUGGAGGAGAGUCAAAGAGGAAAAAAAAGAAGAGUUGCGGUGCGGUCUCGGCAAGGUUGGAGGCGAGGAAGGUGGGGGGGUGCGCAGGUGCCGGCGAGGGCGAAAGCAUGAGGAUGAGAAGCAAGGAGGACCGUUUCCGCUUUCGCCUCUGCCUCCGCUGUCUCUUCGGCAAGAGAAAAAAAAAUGAACAAAAGAAAAAAAAGAGGGGAGAGAAAAAAUAAUAAAGGUAUUUUGGUCAGUUUGCUGAAAAUUCAGUCCGAAUCUGCAAAAUAAAAAAAAUUACCCACUUUUGUAAAAGCACAAAACUAAUGAAUUUUUUAUACAAAUUAGCCUAAUUUAAAUAAUAAUUAUGUUAUUUUUUAAAAAAUAAAUAAACAAUAUAUAUAUUUACGUGUGUGUAUUUGAAAAGUUUAAAGAAUAAAAAAAAACACUUCGUGGGUAAUUCGUAUACCUAUCCGCUUAAAUGUAAUUUUGUGGGUAAUUCGCAUACCUAUCCGCUUACAUGUAUGGAUAAGAAUGCUGACUAUUUAAAAAUUUUUGAAUAAAUUUUAUUCAUACCUAAAUAAAUCUGCGGAUAUAAAAAUCAGUCCAGCGCAUGAAUCAUUCAACACUAAAGUCAUCUUUUUAUACACGAGAUUUCUUUUUUUUGCAGGAUGUUUUCGUUGGUGGGAGCAAUACGUCCUCAGCCACUGUGGUAUGGUCGAUGACAGAGCUAAUGAGGCACCCGCAAGUGAUGAAAAAAGCUCAAGAAGAAGUGAGAAGCCUCGUCGGGGGGAAAGGAAAGGUAGAGGAGAGCGACAUCGACCCACUGCGCUACCUCAAGUGCGUUGUGAAGGAGACCAUGCGGUUGCACCCGGUGGCUCCCAUGCUGCUCCCAAGAACAACGUUGCGGCAUUUCAAAAUCGACAGCUAUGAUGUCCCGCUCGAUUCAAUGAUAUACAUCAAUGCUUGGGCAAUCGGAAGGGACGGGAGUUACUGGGAAUCGCCGGAGGCGUUCAAGCCGGAGAGGUUCAUGAAUAGCUCGGAUCUCGAGUUCGCCGGAAAGGACUUCAAUUUGAUACCAUUUGGGGAAGGUCGCAGGAUCUGCCCAGGGAAGAACCUCGGGCUCAAAACAGUCGAGAUCAUGCUCGCCAACCUUCUUUACUCCUUCGACUGGGAACUUCCAACGGGUAUGACGAAGGAGGACAUCAACAUGGAUGAGGCGCUGGGCAUUGCUGUGCACAAAAGACAUGCUCUCCGCCUUCUCGCCACCAGACAUAUAUAGCGGCAUCAAUAGCUACUAUACUAUAGAUAAUAUAAAAUUAGUAUUUACAAUAAAUAUUUUAGCCCUUGGAUGUCUAGAGUUGUCUAUUUGGGAGUUCUAUUAAUUAGUAUGGAUCUAAGAGCCAAAAGAUCUGUAAUAAUUACUUUUCAUCUACUAUUUAUAAUAUAGUAGCUUAAUCGAGUGUGUGUAUAUAUAUAAUGCGUCUCACUGAAAUGCACUCUUAUUUAUCUACUACUUCUAUCUACCUAUAUCAAUUACGUAUUUUACUAGCUAUCUUAUGCGAACAAUAUGCAAAUCAUAUGUAUAUACAAGCUUGAUCUCACAACUUCUCAGGCACACAAAAAUUAAUUUCUCAAUAUUUAAGAAUAGGGUAGAAUCACAUAUUUUACGUUAUAUGUUAACACAAGUUGCUACAGCAAAGUUUAAGAAAAAUCUGAUAGCCGACCUGGUAUGACCUACGUACCCUUUUCAUUGAGGAAAUAUAUUUGGCUGUUGAUAAUUCCGACUUAGUAUUACUAUACUAAUUUAAUGAAAGAUUCAUUCAAUUAUAUAGGAUUUAAACUGUUUGGAGCAUUUGAACGCGAGACCGUUGAUUAAUUGCAUCCAUCUAGGAUUUACUGGCUAAAAUAAAAAAAGACGGCCGAGCUGGGGGCACACCGGUUGGGCCCAUCACACUGGGCAGUGUUGGGCAGCUGCCGUUGAGCUCGUCGACCCAAGGCUCGGCACGGCGCGGCACAAACUGGCACAGCCUGGGCCCCAAGGCCUUUGCCUUGGACCUUGGGGCACGAGUUCCUCCCUUGGGAAGAAUGGGUUGGUCCAUAUUGGAUCAAAACCUUGCAAUUAAUCACUUUUUUUAAAAAAAAAAAAGUAAAAAAUAGAUUUUUUUUAAAAAAAAUAAAAUAUUUAUUAUUUUAUAAUUCUUUUUAUAAAUUUCAAUUGCUUUGAUCAAAAUAUAAAUUUAAACAGGAGUAAUUUAAUUUUUAAAUUUAUAUUUUUUAAAAAAAUUUAAAAAAAAUAGAGAGAUUGGUCCGCCCGGUUCGAUAAGGCCAGUGCCUUCCAUGCCAGAGGGCCCGUGCAGGGGAGGAGGCAUGAAAGAUCCAACCCUGCACCGCUCGGCUAGAAUUUGAAAGUCAGACCGACGCCUAGCUCGUUUUAGUCUAGAUAAUAUAGGUCAUGCGGUUUGAACAGGACUCACAUUACACCCCUACAUCUAUAUCACAUAUUUGUUCCUCUCUCUCUCUUAUCUAUUCUUUUUCAUCAUUACAGUUGACAUAUUCUACUUCUCUCAUUCUGCUUCUCACAAUGAAUAAAAUAAUUAAAUUAAGGUAAAAACAUUAGUUACUAUCUGAAAUUAUUGUAACCAUGUUUUACAUGAAUUUGUUUUUUUUUUUUUUUUAGAGAUAGGUAGCAUGCUACCCGCUUCGUUUAUUUCAUUUAGAAAUAAACUUAGCUAGAAAUGUGAAUCAACUAGGAUUCGAACUUGAGACCUCAGGUACCAACCAUCAAGCCUUUUGCCACUUGCGCUAGGGACAGCCGGUUUUACAUGAAUUUGUUGAAAAUCAUAAAUUGGAGUCAUAGAUAAAUCUAUAGGAAGGAGGUAUUUUGGGGUGGAGAGUGAUGUGAGAGUAAGGUUAAUGUAGAAGAAAAGAUGUAAUCUAUUUAGCUAAGGUGAAAUAGGUAAUUCAUUUCGAUUUGAAUUUGGAACCAAUAAUAUGAAAUAGGAAGAAAUCAUAAAGAAAUAUAAUAGAUACUACGUACAAAAGGGGUGGAUAGUAGGCGGACUUUUUUGAUUAGUUCAAUUUACAAUUUUUUAUUAAAUUUAAAAUUUAAAAAUUUUAAAAAAUAAAUAGUCAAAUUUGAAUAUGUGACGGUUGCUAUACUAUAAAAAUAUGAACUACAGACAUAAAUGACAUUUUUUUUCUUGUUCGCAGGGUAAACCUACAUCAAAAUAAAAACAGAUUAUCAAAAUAAAAGCAAAUUAUCGGUCUCUACGCAGGGGUGUAAACGAGCCGAACACGAGCGAGCUAGGGUCAGCUCAUAUUCGGGCUCAUUUAUUAAACGAGGCCGAACACGAGCUCGCUCGUUAAAUAUCGGAGCCGAAAAUUCAGCUCGUGUUCGGCUCGUUUUAUUAACGAGCCGAACACGGCUGACUCACGAGCUGGUUAACAACAAUAAAUUAAAAAGAAUUAGAUUAAUAUAUAUAAAAAUAAUUUAUAAAAUCUUAUCCAUUAAAUUUUGAUUUAAUAGUUGAAACUUUACAUAUAAAUGAGUCUUUUAUAAUUAAAUUUGCAUUUAUAUUUUUAUUUUGCUAAAAAUUAAUAAUAAAAAUAUGUAUUAUAUAUAAUAUUUAUUUAUAUAUAAAAUAUAAAUUAAAUAAAUUAUAUAAAUGUAAAUAUAUGUAUUCGAGCUGUUAUCGAGUCGAACAUGAGCGAGCUGACCCCAGCUCGUGUUCGGCUCGUUUAUUAAACGAGCUGAAAAUUGAGGCUCGUGUUCGGCUCGUUUACUAACGAGCGAGCCGAUAUCGAGACUCAUUUCGAGCCGAACACGAGCUGACUCACGAACAGCGAGCUGAAUUGCCACCCCUAUCUCUACGGAGCAUUAAUUACGUAUAUAUCUAGCUAAUUAGAGUCGUUGAAACUAAAAGCAAAAUAUUUCGUCCCUUAAUAGACCUCCUGGGUAUAACACGGUAGCCGUGGGUCGUAAUAGUGAAAAGUUUUAAUUAUAUUUUACUAUACUUUAUUUUAUUAUUAUUUUUACUUACUUUAUUAUAUUAUUGUUUGAAGGUUUUAUUAUAUUUUUCAAAUUCUACAUUAAAAUUUAGAUUUAUUUUUAUUUUUUUAUCUUUUUCUUUUUCUUACAUAUAUUACGUACCAAAUUAUUUUUUUCUCGCCAGCUUUAAUUAUUUUUAAUUAUUAUUUUAUUAUUUUUAAUAUUAUUAAAAUAAGUUGAAUAUAUUUCUGUUAUUUUUAAUUAGUAUUUUAUAGUGUAGGGAUAAAAAAAAAAGCGGUGCUUUAAAAAAAUUAGUAUAAUAUAAAAAGUGAAAAAAAAUCUCUAUAUUGUAAUAUAGUAUAAGUGUAAUUAAAUCUUAAAAAAAUAAUUACGGCACAUCGUAUGUGAUAAUUAGGCAAAAAAGAGAAUCCUGGCCUGCGCACAGUUCAUGCACGGCACUAGUAGGAAAGUCCAAUUUUGAGUCUCAAUGUAUGCGUGUGAUUUAGGAGGCCAAUAGGUCGGAUUCCGGCAGAUUUUUAGAAGUUUGAAUCCGAAUCCAACUCCAAAUCUGAAAUCUCAAUCCGAAAAAGACAUAUCCAAAUCCGAAAUCGACUAAAAAUUCGAAACCCGAAAUAAUUAUUUUUCUUUUCAAUAUUCCAAAAUAUAUUACAUUAAAUCUAAUUUUUUAAAAUACAAAUUGAAAUAUAAUAUUAAAUUUUAAUACACAUGUUAUAUAUAUUAUAAAAUAAAUUUGGGUUCUAGUCUGGUUCAAAUUCGGAUCAAAUACAGUCAAAAUUCAUUUCCGAAUUUAUACCCGUCGGGUCUUUGUUUCUGAUAUUCAUAUUCAAAACCAUAUUCGUUUAUCAUCAGGUAAAUUCGCUCCGUUCUAUUUCAAAUUCGGAUAAAAUUUUGAGUAUCUACACGCAUUAACAUCCCUAGUAUGGUGUUCUUUUUCUGGGGCCCACUAGAUUUUACCCAGUGUGUGCCAGUUUCAACUCAUUUUUCCAUCCACAUAGCAAUUACUGUCUCCUAUAUUUAGCGAGUGAGAGCAACUGCAUAAAAAUGUCCCUGUUUUGAUAUACUGUACCAAUAUUUUAAAAUAUUGGAAGAGAAAAAUAUAUGUUUUACUCGUUUAUAUCAGAUUCUAUACGGAUUUGAGUAUUUAAAUUAUUAAUAUAUCCAUCGAGUCUACUUGAGCAGAUUUAGAUAGUAACUAUCCGUAUACAGCCACUUUAAAAUUGGGUACAGAUCGAAUACGGGUCGGGUACUUUAAAAUUGGGUACAGAUCGAAUACGGGUCGGGUUUAGAUCAAAUAUGUGUAUCGGCAUGCAAAUUUUUUAUAGACUAUUAAAUAGUUUAUGGACAAAUUAUAAAUUUUUUACUAUAGAAAACUCACGUUCUAAUAAAUUGCACCAAGUUAAAGAGAUCAAAGAGGCAAAGAGAGUGGUUAGGGUUUGAUUUUUUUUUUUUUUUAACUCCUUUUCUUAAUUCCAAAAAUAAACAUGGAUCCCUAUUUAGAGAGAAAGAUUCCAACAGUAAACAACGGUUAGAAUUUUAAAAAUAAGGAGAAAAAAACAAAAAAAUAGUAAAUAUAGUGGCUAGGUUUCACUAAGACGAAAAUAUACAGAAAUUCCUCAUCUAUAAAUUCUAUAUAUUGUGAUAAUUUAAAUAAUAAUUAUCUUAUGCUUUUUUAAAUAAAUAAACAAAUAUAUAUUUUUACGUGUGUGUAUUUGAAAAGUAUAAGAAUUAAAAAAAAAAACAACUCGUGGGUAAUUCGCAUACCCAUCUGCUCACAUGUAUGGAUAUAUAAGAAUGCUGGCUAUCUUAAAAAUUUUUGAAUAAAUUUUAUUCGUACCUAAAUAAAUCUGCGGAUAUAAAAAUCAGCCCAGCACAUGAAUCAUUCAACACUAAAGUCAUGUUUUCAUACACGAGAUUUCUUUUUUUGCAGAAUGUUUUCGUUGGUGGGAGCGAUACAUCCUCAGCCACUGUGGUAUGGGCGAUGUCGACGGAACUAAUGAGGCACCCGCAAGCGAUGAAAAAAGCUCAAGAAGAAGUAAGAAGCCUCAUCGGGAGGAAAGGAAAGGUAGAGGAGCCCGACAUCGACCAACUACGCUACCUCAAGUGCGUUGUGAAGGAGACCUUGCGGUUGCACCCAUGCUGCUCCCAAGAACAACGUUGCGGCAUUUUAAAAUCGACGACAAUGAUGUCCCGCCCGAUACAAUGAUAUUCAUCAAUGCUUGGGCGAUCGGAAGGGACGGGAGUUACUGGGAAUCGCCGGAGGCAUUCAAGCCAGAGAGGUUCACGCAUAGUUCGGUUCUCGAGUUCGCGGGAAAGGACUUCAAUUUGAUACCAUUUGGGGAAGGUCGCAGGAUCUGCAUGCCCCAGGAAGAACCUCGGGAUAAAAACGGUCGAGAUCAUGCUCGCCAACCUUCUUUACUCCUUCGACUGGGAACUUCCAACUGGUAUGACGAAGGAGGACAUCAACAUGGAUGAGGCGCCGGGUGUUGCUGUGCACAAAAGACAUGCUCUCCGCCUUCCCGCCACUAGAUAUAGCAGCAUCAAUAGCUAAAAUAUAUACAUAAAUACACCACUGUGCAUCUACGUACGUAUCAUCUCUCGCGCAACAAUCUACCUAGCUAUAUCUAUUAUGUGUCUUACUAGCUAUAUAUCUUAGUUAUGUGUAUAAUAUGCAAAUCAUAUGCUUAUACCUCACAACUUCUCAGACGUACAAAAAUUAAUUUAUCAAUAUUUAAGUAUAGGGUAGAAUCACAUAUAUAUUCUACCUUAUUAAGACAGCAGUGUUUAAGAAGACUCUGCAGACCGAGACCUGACCUGACGUGCGUACCCCUUUCAUCCAAGAAGUAUUCGGCUGUUGAUUCUGAAUAUUACUGUACUAAUUUAAUAAAAGAUGCAUUCAAUUAUAUAUGAUUUAAACUGUUUGGGGCAUUUAAACGUGAGGCCGUUGUUUUAAUGCAUUCAUCUAGGAUUUACUAGCUCGAAUGAAAAAGACCAGUUCAAUGGUUUCUCUGAGUGCCGCUGAACAGAAAGCCACAGGCCAAGCUGGGGCACGCCACGGACCGGCUCGGCCCAUUACACUGGGCUGUACUGGGCCGAAGCUAGGCACGGCACGGCCUAGGGCCUAAGGCCUUCGGCCUUCGACCUUGGGGUCUGAGUUCCUCCCUAGAAGCUCUCCUUCCAAAGUCUGCCAAUGAAGGCCUUGGGAAGAAGGGGUUGGUCCAUUGGAUCAAAACCUCGCAAUGUAUCACUUUUUUUUAAAAAAAUAAAGAUUAUAAUUUUUUAAAAAAUCAAAAUAUUUAUUAUUUUAUAAUUAUUUUUAUAAAUAUUAAUUGUUUUGAUCAAAUAUAAACUUAAAUGGGUGUAAUUUUAUUUUUUUAUAUUUUUAAUUUUAUAUUUUUAAAAGUUUAAAAAUAAAUAAUUAAGAGAUUGGUCCGAAGCACGGUACAGUUCGGCAUGGCCAGUGCCUUUCAACCUAAAGGACCGUGCCGGGCCAAAGGCUUGAAACAUGCAACUCUUCCGGCACGGUCGGCUCCUAGUCUAUUUUGGUCAGGAUAAUAUAUAUGACCUUGUUGUCUAACACAGCCUACAUUAGACUUUUAUAUUUAUAUAAUAUCACAUUUCUUUUUUCCUCUUUCUUCUUAUCUAUUUUUUUCAUCAUUACAGUUGACAUAGUCUACCUUGCUCAUUCUACUUCUCACACGGAAUAAAAGAAUAAAAUUAAGGUAAAAACAUUUGUUACUAUUAGAAUUUUUUUUUGAAAAAAAAAAAGUUUGCUAUCCGCUUCAUUCAUUAAAAAUAAGAAUUAGGCUACAUGUGUGAGGUAAUAAACCUCGGUACUCUUAGAAAUUACUGUAACCAUGUUUUACAUGUAAUCAAGGGUGAAUUUAUUGAAAAUCAUAUAUUGGAACCGUCAUAGAUAAAACGGUGGGAAGGAGGUAUUUUGGGGUGGGAAGUGACGUGAGAGUACGGUUAAUGUAGAAGAAAAGAUGUAAUUUAUUUCGGUUAGAGCUGAUAAUGUGAAAUGGGUAAUUUAUUUGGAUUGGAAUCGAUAAGAUGAAAUAGAAAGAAAUCGUAAAGAAAAUACGACUGAUGCUACGUACGAAGGGGUGGAUAGUAAGUGGACUUUUUUGAUUAGUUAAUUUUACAAUUUUUUAUUAAUAAAAUUUAAAUUUAAAAUUUUAAAAAAAUUAAAUAGUUAAAUUUAAAUAUGUGGUGGUUGCCAUACUAUAAAAAUAUGAUCAACAGACAUAAAACUUUUAGCGACAACUUGGUGGGUAGUUUAGACGGAAAGAAAUAAUAUCAUUUUCCAUACGAAGUUUCUCGACGCUACCUAGGUUCUUGAACGCAUCAAACUUCUGGCGAAAUCGUGGAAUCAGCUCCUUUGACUGCAUCGGCUUACGAAGCUUCUCAACGCUCCCUUUUUUUUUUUUUCCCACCCUUCCCUCACCCUUUCCCCUUUCCCCUUUUCCCUUUUCGCCAACCUCUUUUCUGUUUUUUCUUGUUCUGUUUUGGCACUAUUUCGGAGGCCCUAGCUACUUUCAUUCUGUACGCUCGGUUAAUUUUACUUAAUGAAUUAACCAAAUAACUUGCUACCUCUUGCUCAAAAAUAAAAGACAUAAAAGACAUUUUUUUUCUUGUGCACUAACGUAUAUAUCAAAAUGAAUGCGGAUUAUCGGUCUCUACUGAGCAUUAACGUAUCCAGCUAAUUAGAGCAUAGUUAGUUAAUUCGGAUUCAGCAAAAAUUCGGUCCGGGUAUAAUAUGCAUAAAAUUCGUUUUCUAAUUUUUAAAUUUAUUGAAAAAUUCGGCUUAAAAAAUAGAUUCAGUAUAAAAUAUAAAUAAAAUAUAAGAUAAUCUAUUUUUUAAAAAAAAUAAUAAAUUUUUUAUUCAUAUUUUCACUAAUUCGGAAAUAAUUCGCGAAUUACUCGGCUGGCCAAAAAAUUCACGAAUAAUUCUCUUUUUUUGAAAAAAAAUUCAUAAACGAGACGUUUAAUUUGAAUUUUCAAUAAUUCACGAAUUAACUAACAAAGAAUUAGAGUCCGUUGAAACUAAAAGCAAAAUAUUAUGUCUCUUAGAUAGACCUCCUGAGUAACAUCGUACAUCAUAAUUAUAAGGAAUAAUUGCCUAUAUACUCCAAAAACUUUGAAAAUAUCUUAUUACCCUUAUUUUUUUUCCUUUUCAAUAUACACCUCAUAUGUUCUUCCGUUUUUUCAAAAUACCGAUACAGUUAUCACCUAUUAAGUCAAGUUGAGUUAAACGUGAGUUAAAUAUCUACUACAGUUAAAAAAAUUUAAAAUGACACUUUUGCCUUUAACUUAAGGGCAAAUAAGAAAUAUUAAUGAUAAUAAAAGGGUAUAUUUGAAAAGUCCAAGAAACAAAAUACUUUUUGUGCCCCUAACUUAAGAACAAAUAAGAAGGUGCGGGUAGAAAAGUAUAUUUGAAAGGACACAAUAGUAAUUUUAUAAAGAUAAUAGAGUUCGUUAACAUAAUUCAUUAACAGAGUUUAUUAACAGAUUUUAACUCUACGGGUAUAUUUGAAAUAAAUUAGAAUGUAAAAAAAUUAUUUUCAAUAUUAACCUUCCAAAAAGGUAAAUCAGAAUGUCGGGAAUUUUGGGUAUAUAAUUAAGCAAUUACCCAUAAUUAUAAAAAGGCUGAAUUAUAUUUUACAAUACUUUAUUUUAUUAUUGUUUUAUUACUGUAUUAUAUUAUUCUUUAAAAGGUUUUAUUAUAUUUUUCAAAUUCUACAUUAAAAUUUAGAUUUUUUUAUUUUUCUAUCUUAUUAUUUUCUUUUCUUACAUAUAUUACCAAACUAUUCUUUUUCUCGCCAAUUUUUAUUUUACUGCUAAUAAAUAUACUAUUUUAGACAAAAUCUGAUAAAUUUUUUAAAAGUUGUUGUUUAAAUAGUAAAACAAAUAUAAAAUAAAUGUUCACGAUAGACUCAUUGAAACUUCUAUCAAGUUAUUUUUAAUUAUUAGUUUGUUAUUUUAUGUAUUUUAUUAUUUUUAAUAUCAUAAUAAGUUGAAUAUAUCUCUAUCAUUUUUAAACAGUAUUUUUUAGCAGUUUUAUAUAAAAUUAUAUGUUUAUUAUUUGUAGUGUAGGGAUUAAUAAAAAAAAAGUUAAGCGGUGCCUUAAAAGAAAUUUGUAUAAUAUUGAAAGUGAAAAAAAAAAUCUGUAUAAUACAAUAUUAUAGUCUAGUGUACGUAAUUAAAUCUUCUUCUUUUUUUUUUAGAGAGAUAGGUAGCACGUUACCUGUUUCGUUUUUUAAAUUUAGAAAUAAAUUUAGUUGGAAAUGUGAAUCAAUUAGAAUUCGAAUUUGAAAUCUCGAAUACUAGUACCGUCAAGCCCUUUGUCACUUGUUUUAGAGACAGUCGGUUACAUAAUUAGAUCUUACAGCUAGAGGUGGCAAUCCAGCUCGUUGUUCGCGAGCCAGCUUGUGUUCGGCUCGAAAUGAGCUCGAGAUCGGCUUGAUUUUUUAGCUCGUUUAAUAAACGAGUCGAACACGAGCUGGGGUCAGCUCGCUUCUGUUCGGCUCGAUAACAGCUCGAAUACAUAUAUUUUAUAUUUAUAUAAUUUAUUUAAUUUAUAUUUUUAUAUAUAAAUAAAUAAUUAUAUAUAAUAUAUAUUUUUAUUAUUUUAUUUUUAGCAAAAUAAAAAUAUAAAUGCGAGCUUAAUUAUAAAAAGACUUAUUUAUAUGUAAAGUUUCACCUAUUAGAUUAAAGUCUAAUGGAUAAGAUUUGAUAAACUUAUUUUUUAUAUAUAUUUAAUCUAAUCAUUUUUAAUUUAUUGUUCGUUGGCCAGUUCGUGAAACAGCUCAUGUUCGGCUCGUUAAUAAACGAGCCAAACACGAGCUGAAUUUUUCCACUUGAUACUUUAACGAGCCAGCUCGUGUUUCGCUCGUUUAAUAAACGAGCCGAACACGAGCCGACCUCAGCUCGCUCGUGUUCGGGUCGUUUACACCCCUACUUACGGCACAUCGUAUGUGAUAAUUACGGAAAAAAGAAAAUCAUGGCACACAGCUCUUGCACGGCACUAGUAGGAAACUCUAAUUUUGAGUCUUAAUGCGUGGGUGUGAUUACGAGUGAGAGCAACGUCAGAUGCGUAGAUAUAUGGAAACGGGUAUGGACGUGCAUUCGUUGUACAACAAACAUGCAUAAAUUUUAAGCAUAACAAAACAUGAAUAAUGGAGGCCUCGUCUAAUAUCUUAAACAUAAAUAUAAAUUCGCACUCGGUAAACGCCUCCAAAUAUCUUUACAAUAUAGUAAAUAUUGACACUUCAAAAGGUGUCAUAAUACGAACCCUCAAUAAUAUCAAACUAAUUUAUUAAAUAAUAUUUAUUAUUAUUUUUAAUUUUUCAACGUUUUAAAGGAUUAAGAUUUAAAAAAAUUUUAAUACUUUAUAGCGUAAGAAUAUAUUUUACUAACACUUAGCAUAAAUAUCGAUAUAUCUAUGACGAUUUUUUUUUUAUAGAUAUUUUGAUUGAUACUUUCAAACAUGACGUUAAAAAAAAAAUUUAAAAUAUUAUUUUUUUUCGUAGCAAUACAAGAUUAUAUAAGGCAGCAAGAAACAAAAGUAUUGAUUGGCUUCUAAACUUUUCCGUAUGGAAAAUAAAUUUGUAACUUAUAUUGAUAGAAGCAACUAGACUACGUAAGUACAACGAUAAAUCAAAUCAUGUAGCUUUUAUGAGUGGGGCACGGAGGUAACGGCGUGCGUUAUCUUUAAUGAGUGGGUAACGGCGUCCGUUAUCUUUGGUACCUACCCGUGAGUUUUUUGUAGGUAGGAGUGUCCAACGCCAUGGCAAUCAUCUUUCCAUUUUCUGACGAAGUACUUUGUCCUAAUAAACAUAAAUAAGAGAAAUGCUGUAUGUUGGAUAUAAAAUUAUGUAAAAUAAUUAAGUAAUUAAAUCUUGCCAAGUGGUAAUUAUGUAAGGCUUAGUUUUCAAAAUAUUGGACAAUAUAAAAUUAAGGGCGCUAUUAAUUUUACAAGGCUAAUUAUAACCUAUUCACCAACACCUAUAUACACAAAUCUAAUUUAAUUAAAAACAAACAAUUAAGUAUGUAUGAAUAUAAUUAAGGAGGUCAUGAGCUCAUUUGGAUCUGCAGAAUGUGGUGUUGUCUAAUAAUUAGGUUUGAAUGGCAACGGUAAGAGCAGUACUACGUCAAAAUCGUUUUUUUUUUUUUAGAAAAAUUGAAAAUUUCAAAUUAAAGAUUUUACUUUGAGAACCAAAAUACGAUUUUAAUUGUACAGCUGCACUAUCUAGGAAACUUGUUGCGGCUGAAAAGUCGUCCAUGAUUUGUGUGGCAUGCAGAUACUAUAUAAACGCAAACAUGAGGCAUGCAGAUACUAUAUAAAUGCACAGCAUAUGCAUGAGCUCUUUUACUUCAUACCUGAAGCACCCCAAAUUAAGUUUCUAUGGCUCUUUCUGACAUGAUUGCCUCCCUGCAGCCUUUCCUUCUUGUUCUCCUACUACUACUCCCUCUUCUACUCCUCACAAGAAGAAACAAGACUUCCAGUCCAUCACUAAAACUUCCCCCGGCCCCUCCCAAGCUGCCGUUAAUCGGCAACCUCCACCAGCUUGGUAUACUCCCCCACCGCUCCCUCUCUCGGCUCUCGCAGCAAUACGGCCCCCUCAUGCACCUGAUGCUCGGCAGCAGGCCGAGCAUCGUGGUCUCCUCUGCCGACAUGGCCCGGGAGAUCCUAAAGACGCACGACCUAGAGUCCUGCAGCCGACCAUCCCUCACCUCAUUUACAAAGCUCUCCUACGGUGGCUCGGACAUCGGCCUCGCGGGGUAUGGAGAGCAGUGGAGAGAGCUCCGAAGAAUUUCCGUCAUCGAACUUUUCAGCGCGAAGAAGGUCGCCUCCUUUCGAUCCAUUAGAGAAGAAGAGGUGGAAAGAACUAUGAGCUUGAUAUCCUCAUAUUCAAGCAGUUCUCUCCCCGUCGAUUUGAGCAAAGAACUGAUAGAGCUCACAACCGCAAUCACUUGUAGAAUGGCUUUCGGAAGGAGCUACCAUGAUGUUGGAAGCAGGUUUCAGGCGAUUCUGAACGAAACACAAGCUAUGCUCGCGGGCUUUUUCAUCGCAGACUACUUGCCUAUCAUCGGAUGGGCCGAUUGGCUCACAGGGAUGAGAGCGAGGCUCCGUAAGAACUUUACCGAUCUUGAUCUGUUCUACCAACAAGUCAUCGACAAGCAUCUCGACACACUGCAGCAGCAGCAGCAGCAACGUGACUCUGGUGAAGACUUUGUGCAUUUAUUACUGCGCAUGCAAAAGGAGGAGAAAAGUCUAACCACAGACCAGAUCAAAGCAGUACUUAUGGUCGGUAAAAUACGAUAAUAUAUCACAUAAUUUUUUUUUUUUUUGAAAAAAAUUCAUUCAUUAAGAACAAUAAAUUUGGCAAUAACAAUAUGUAGAGCUAACAAUAUAUUGCUAUUCAUUCCUUAGGGUACCCGCAGAUUAUCGAUAGAUUUGCGAGUAUGAACACUGAUUUUUUAUCUAAAAGGAUGUGGGUAAAACAGAUAGAUUCAUAUAUUUUCGACAACCCACAGAAACUAGCAUGUAUAUAUAUUUUUUAAAUAAAAUAAGUGAAUAUUUAUUUUAUUUUAUUUACCUCUAGAUUUUUAAUUUUAAUUUUUCUUAUUAUUAUUUUAAAACUCUAUAUUAUCUAUUGUAUAUUAUGAUAAUNAUAUAUAUAUAUAUAUAUAUAUAUAUAUAUAUAUAUAUAUAUAUAUAUAUAUAUAUAAAGAGAGAGAGAGAGUGAGCUGGUAUGUUUCUGGAAGUACAAAACUUUCCGUGUUUCUAAGUUGUUUUCGAUAGAAUUUUCGAAUCGACGAUCGGCUCCAUUAAACUUGAUCUAGAGUAUUUAAAGUAUCUAGAAAAUAAAUUUUGUGAUUUUUCGAUAUCAUUUGCCAAUGAUUAAAGGGCUUAAAAUCAAUAACUUUAAUAACCGUGGUGAGCUGUUUACAAGUUUAACGGUGUAAAAAUAUUCAAAUCACGUGAAAUUUUGAUUGAAAAUUCUUUAUACUAUAUAAAACAAGAUCAAUAUUUUUUAUCUAAAAUUUUAAUAUCAUAUCAUCCUAUUUUGCAAUAUUUUUAUUUUCAGCCGUUGAUUUUGAACUACUUCGAUCACUAAGCAAAUGAUAUCAAAAAAUCGCAAAAUUUAUUUUCUACAUACUUAAAAUACCCUAGAUCAAGUCUAACGGAGCUAAUUGUCAAUUCGAAAGUCUCAACAUCGAAAACGAGUUGAAAGCACGGAGCAUUCUGUGCUUCAAAAAGUAUAUCGGCCCCACCCUAUAUAUAUAUAUAUAGUGUAGAGCUACUAUACUAUCGGAAGUAUAGAGGACUUGAUGUUUUCGACUUUUUGACCAUUGAAUCAAGAAUUGUUCGGUCGAAAUGAUUGUGAUUCUGCCUAGAGUUAAGUAAUAUUCCUAGGAUUGUGUGGUCCCCACAAAGUACUAGUAUUAAUCCAAAGCUUAUAAAUGAUUAAAAAAGUUGAUCUAAGGGCCAAAAAAUUGAAAGCAUCAGAUUUUCUAUAAUUUCGAUAGUAUAGUAGCUCUACACUCUCUCUCUCUCUCUCUCUAUAUAUAUAUAUAUAUAGAGAGAGAGAGAGAGAGAGUGACUGGGAUAUUACCGAUAGCACCAAGCGUUUGAUACUAUUGAGUUUUCCACCGUUAGAUUUAAUUCUUUGACUAUUUUCAUCCGUUGAAUUAUACUAUUAAACCAAUAACUCACUCAAUCCUAAAGGGCCAACAUCAGCCUAGUUCUAUAUAUGUGUAUGUUUGAAAAGUAUAAUAAGAAUAAGAAAAAAAAACACCUCGUGGGUAAUUCGCAUACCCAGCUACGUACGUACCCGUUGGUAUGAAUAAGAAUGCUGGCUGUCUAAAUAUUUGUGAAUACAUUUUAUUCAUACCUAGAUAACCUGCGAAUAUAAUUAUCAGCCCAGCCACGAAUCAUUCAACACUAAAGUCAUGUUUUUACACACAAGUUUACUCAUUUUUGUAGAAUGUUUUCGUUGGUGGGAGCGAUACGUCCUCAGCCACUGUGGUUUGGGUGAUGACGGAACUAAUGAGGCACCCGCAAGCGAUGGAAAAAGCUCAAGAAGAAGUGAGAAGCCUCGUCGGGGGGAAAGGGAAGGUGGAGGAGAGCGACAUCGACCAACUACGCUACCUCAAGUGCGUUGUGAAGGAGACCAUGCGGUUGCACCCGGUGGCUCCCUUGCUGAUCCCUAGAGCAACGUUGCAGCAUUUCAAAAUCGACGGCUAUGAUGUCCCGCCCAAUACGAUGAUAUACAUCAAUGCUUGGGCGAUCGGAAGGGACGGGAGUUACUGGGAAUCUCCGGAGGCAUUCAAGCCGGAGAGGUUCAUGAAUAACACGGAUCUCGAGUUUGCAGGAAAGGACUUCAAUUUGAUACCAUUUGGGGAAGGUCGCAGGAUCUGCCCAGGGAAGAACCUCGGGAUCAAAACGGUUGAGAUCAUGCUCGCCAACCUUCUUUACUGCUUCGACUGGGAACUUCCAACGGGCACGACAAAGGAGGAUAUCAACAUGGAUGAGGCGCCAGGCCUUGCUGUGCACAAAAGAGAUGCUCUCCGCCUUCUCGCCACUAGACAUAUAUAGCGGCAUCAACAGCUAAAAUAUAUACACAUAUGUAUAGAUGGAUCUAGUGCACUGCUACUAUACUAUAAUAAAUAUUUACUAUACUAUAAUAAAUAUUUACUAUAAUAAAUAUUUACACAUAUAUAUAGAUGGAUCUAGUGAAAAUAAUAUAUACAAUAAAUAUUUUAGCUCUUGGAUGUUUAGAGUUGACAAUUUGGAAAUUCUAUUUGUAUGGAUCUAAGAGCCAAAAGAUCUGUAAUAAUUACUAUUCCUCUAUUAUCUAUAAUAUAGUAGCUUAAACUGAGUGUGUGUGUAUAUAUAUGUAUAAUGCGUCUCACUGAGAUGCACUCUUAUUCGCUUACCAUUAUACAUCUAUAUAUCUAUCAUUUUUCUAUCUACCUAUAUCACAUACUUUCUUAUCUUACUAGCUAUCUUAUGUGUACAAUAUGCAAAUCAUAGGCAUAUAGAAGCUUGAUCACAAAAGUGUUUAAGAAAAAUCUGAAAGCCAACUUGGCCUGACCUACAUUUCCCUUUCAUCUAGGAAGUUUUUUAUUACUAUGUUAAUUUGAUGAAGGAUUCAUUCAUCUAAAUAGGAUUUAAACUGUUUGGAGCAUUUAAUAUAAGAUUCAUCUAGAAUUUACUGGCUCAAAUAAAAAAAACCAGUUCAAUGGUUUCUCAAGUACCGCUAGGGGUGUAAUAUGGGCCGUGCCGGGCCCAAGCUAUCAAGCCUCCAGCCCGGUAUGGCCCUUUGGCCCGGAAGGCACGGGCCAUGCCGGGCCAGCCCGGUAUGGCCCUUUGGCCCGGAAGGCACGGGCUAGUGUUUGGGUUUUGGAUUUUUAGUGGGUACUGGUGUGGAUAUGAUUUUCUAAAAUUAAUCGAAUUUGGGUUUGGGUUCUGAUUUCGGGUUUGACAGUCGAUUUCAGGUUCGAGUUUUUGAAAAUCCGCCUCGAAUCCUAUCCUUUUACAUCUCUACUGUGGAUAAAAAAAAAAAGAUAGAGAAAGCAAAAGCAAACACAGAAUAGAGAUUAGAUAGUAUAGUGAAAAUAAAAUUACUAAAUUACCCAUUCUUUAAAGGACUAAAAUGCCUUUUUUUGGGUACCUGGAAAGUGGUAACCGGUACCCCUUUUAAAGUGACCUGUUAUUGCAAAUCAUAAUUUUUAAAAAAUUAAAUCUGAGCCGUUGAAUUGAAAUAAAUAAACGGUAUAAAAAAAUAAUAAGUAUAGAAUCACUAUUCAUAAACUACAGUUUGAAACUGCCAGAGAAAUUCAAUAAUUACAAUAGAAAAAAUUUUACCUAAAUUAACUACAAUUUUAGCUACAAUAGUUGUAAAGAAUAAUCUUAAAUAAAAGGCAAACUAAUCUAUCUAAUCAUUUAACCUUUUCUUCAACAAUGGAUAUAAUCUCAUAGCUCCAUGCAUGUAUAACGGGAUACAAUUCGUUAAUACAAUUUUUAGUUAUGCGCGACCAUAUAUAUUUAUUGCAUUUUUUACUAUAUUCAACCAAUUUUAAUACAAAUAAUUGGAGCUGUUAUAUUUUUAUUCUCCAAAAUCAAAAGGUUGCGGAGAACAAUAAUCUUCGGCCUCGUUUGAUAUUUUUACUGUUCUCAAACUUUUUUUGGUUUCAAAUGCAAAUUAUAAUUUAUGUAUGAUUGGAUGAUGCUGGGAGGGACUUAAUUAUGUUUGUAGUUGCUAUUAGCUUGUAAGGCAUCUUGAAAACAUCUUCUCAAGAAUGGAUUUAAUUAUGUUUGCAGUUGCUACUUCGCCUGUAACUCAUAUUGAAAACAUCUUUUCAAGAAAUACAAAGAAGUGGGAAAAUUUUUUUUUGUACUUUGGUCGAAGAAAUCCUUGGACGGUCAAGUGCAAACAAUUAAUGUGAGUCCAUCAGAUUUAUGUUUAAGAAAUAGAAGAUAAUAACAAUACAAAAUGUGGCCCUAAUUUAAUAUUCUCGUGUCCCCUUCUAUCACGGUUCUGAGAUAUAAACGACAAUUUGGCAUGGACGGGUGGAGAAAGAGUCAAAACAAAAAAUAUAUAGAAAAAAGAUCAUUAUGUUUUAAGUCAAUUAAAUAUCUUCUUUUGAAAGAAAAUUACAAUACAAAAAAAAUAGUUGGGAAGCGUGGUUACCUAUUAUGUAGCAAUUGUACUUUAUCACCUAUAUUUCAAGCCGAACAAAAUUUUUAUUUAGAAAGAAAAGUAUAAUAAAAUUAUUUUUAAAAAAAAGUCUGAUAAAAUGGGUGAAUUUUAGAAGCACAAUUAAAUUGACUUGGGUCAUGUUGCAGUGCUGUUGUCGUAUCCUAGACUUGUGUGUUCCUGAAAUGUCACACUGCAUUUUUUUAUGGGACACGCAGACACGGACUGAGAACCUUAACAAAAUCACAGCGGAUUAUGAGAUUAGCAUUGCCUCCUGAGCAUUUACGUAUCUAGUUGGAAUUCAGCGAUAAUAACAGCAAAAUUGCUAUUUACGUUGGACUUAAUUUUUGCCAAACAUCUCAUAUGAUAAUUGCAUAAAAACAAAAAAACACAUGGCAUAUGAUGACACCUCAUGCACAGCACUGGUAGGAAAGUCCAAUUUUGAGAUAUUAAGAUUUCACCCUAUACCGACUGUCUCUAGAGCAAGUGGUGAAAAAUUUAAUGAUUGGUAUUCUGGGUCUCAAAUUUGAAUUCUAAUUUAUUCAUAUUUCUAACUAAAAAAAAAAAAAAAAAAGAGAUUUCACCCUGUGCGCCGAUUUCAACUCAUUAAUACUUAACUUGUCCAUAACUUCUUUAAGCAUAACAAAAACACAAAAAAUUUCAGCCUUCUGAUAUGGUCACCAUUUUUUUUAAUGCUAAUUCUAUAUAAUUUAAUAUACUGACAGAAUGACUGAUUAUUUUAUAAUAAUUUUUGGCCGGCAAUCAAUGAAAACUCAAUUUUACAAAAUUUGAAAAUAAGAAAAAAUACUUCUAUUUUUUCUUAUUUUGGGUUACCAAACAACUAUAUUGGAUGUAAAAAUUAUAAGCAAUUUAUCAUUUUCUCUCACACUAAUUUAUGUAGAAAAUUUAAUUUUUUUUAAAUACAGCUACCAUAAAUCAAAUCAUAUAGCUUUUGUGAUAAGCACAAAGAAACGGUGUGCAACAUCAAAGUUAAGGCUUCGUUUGGAUUGCGGGGAGAUAGUGUUACGUGCGGCGAGAAAGUACGAUGGAUAAAUAUUCUGUUUGUUUUAGUACGUAAUAUUGCGUUACGCAUAUCGCGAUGAGUCGGUUACGAUAUAUUUUCCGCAGUUCCACCGGAGAACGCAGAAACAUAUUCCUAAAUGUUUUUUUCUCAACUCUAUUUUAUCUAAUAACAUUUGAUAUGACUCAAUACCAAACUAAACCUAAGAAACUCACGGUCUACCGUGGUUUGUUAAUUUUACGUUUAUCCAAAAGUCCUAACUUUUCAUUCUUAAAAUUUAAAUUUUUUAAAUUUAAUAUAUAAAAAUUUGUAAUAAAGUCAUGAAUGAAAGUAAAAUCAAUAUAUGACAGCGGAGCGGACUGAGAGCCGUUCAACAAUACGACGUUGUUCGGGAGCUACGUACCCACUUAAACUUUGUUCGGUGGCACCUACUGGAUUUUUUUAUGUACUUAGGGGUCGCGCAUGCAUGAGAUUUUUAUCUACUUAGGUGUCCGCCACAACAUUUCUUUAAAUUGCAUCUGCCGAGAUACUUUGGCCUUCAAACUUAUUAAUCUACUGUCUUAUUCAAAAUUAUUGAUGUAUGCCUUCAAACUCGAACUCGAAUGAAACAGAUAUAUUCGAUACUAAAUGAAUAUAGAUUCGAAUAUAGAUAUAAAAAAUAAAAAUUCGACAGAUAUUGAUUCAGAUAUAAAUUUUGACGGUAUCCGACCCGAACACGAAUCCAAAUUUUUUUGUAUUAUAUAUAAUAUAUUAUAUAAAUAUUUGAUGUUAUAUUUAAAUUUGUAUUUUAAAAAUUUAGAUUUAAUAUAAUAUAUUUUGAAAAUUUAAAAAAAAAUAAUUGUUUCGGGUUCAAAUUUUUGAGUUCGGAUUCGGAUUCGGAUUUUGAAUUUUUAGUCGGAUUCGGAUUCGGAUUUGAGUUUCGGGUUUGGAGUCGGGUACGGAUUCGAAUUUUUAAAAAUUCGCUCCGAAUCCAACCUGUUGACAUCUGUACUCACCGGUUAAGGACAACUCUCAUAUCACUUCCACCUUCACUCCGGUUCUCCUCGAUAAAUAAAUAAUAUAAAAUAAGAGAAAUACUACAUGCACCUCCAAAUACAUAUAAAAAUAUUAUUAAAUAAUAAAAUUUGCAUAUUUGGUAAUCAUGUACUUUUAUUUCAAAAAAUUGAAAAUAAAUAAGGCACGUCAUCAAUUUUAAAACCUAAACCAUUCACCAACUCUGAUAUAUAUAUAUAUACAAAUCUUAUUUACAAAAAAACAUAAAUAUGUCCAUACAAGGAGGCAAUUGUCUUAUUUGGAACUGCAGAGUACUGCUGCGUUGUUUUGUAAUUGUGGUUUCAAUUGCGCCAGCAAUGGUAGUAUACAUUAAAAUCUAGGGAAAUCUACCUAAUAGCUUCUUUUUUUAGGAGAAUUAGAAGUUUCGAAUCAAAAGUUUUCCUAUAAAUCUGAUUUCAGCUGUGCUGCAGCAGUUUAUUGAUAACGUUUUGGCAGAGGUUAAAAUAUGGCAUGGAUCGUAUAUAUUACGAGUGCCGCUCCGGAGUCUGGCUAUCUUGCGUUGAUGUCGUAGUAAUUUGGUUGGGAAUUUUGCUCUCCACUGGCUGUCCUCGAGGUGGUGUACGGUGUAGUUUCGACAGACGGGACGGACGUGUCGUAGUCCCUAUGGAUUGGAUCAAUGUGAUGCAUGUUUCUAUCUAUAGAUAGCCUAUAUUGAUUAGUGAUAGUAUAGCGACAUGUAGCUGUAGAGUUUUUUCUAAUUUUUCUUACUAUCCUUUGUAUAUAGUUCUGUAGACUUAGUGGGUGAGUCGUUGAGGUCAGUGACGGUACCCACUCAGGACUACUCUGUUUUGCAGUAGUUCUCACUCCCAGUUGUUGACACAUUUUGCAGAGCCUUCGUCUGCAGCGGCUGCUAUUGUUGAUUCUGACCGUUGUAAGCGAGUCGCGAGUUAGAUCCCCACCAGCCCUGUUGCCGUGCUAGAAGAGCACCCAUUAGAGAUAGUUUUGUGGUUUUUAUACAUAAGGUUAUGUUGUUGUUGUACUCGCUAGAGCGAGUUGCUUAGUGGACUUUUGUAUGUACAGUGCCUCUUUAUAUUUUAUAUAUACGUGUUUUAAUUCUUGCAGCUUGAUACACUUGGUUGUGACUAUGAAUUAUUUACAGGUACAGCUAUCACUUCGUGUACAUGAAAAAUUUCUAUAUAUACGGCUGGUCUGUUGGCGUGCCCGAAAAAACGUGAUAAUUCGGAACGUAACAUUAAAUUUGAGUUAUUAAUGAUAUUUUCACUUUAAAAUUUGAAUGUAUCAUUUAGUUUUAUAAAUUUAAUUAAUAUACUUUAUAUAAUUCUCGCAACUAAAUUUAUUAAAAUAAAUAUUAAUUAAACUCCAUUAAUCUUUUUUUUAUUUUUUAUUAUACAAUCUAUACCUAAAUGAUUAAUAUUAUAAAAUCAAAAUAUAUGUUUAAUACAUGUAAUUUAAACUAUUUAAAAAUUAUUUAUAAAAAAUUAUAUAUUUUUAAUUUUUAUAAUAACAGAGAAUAAAAAUUGUUAUUUUACUUCAACAAUAGUUGCCCGCCGCAACGCGCAGGUAUCUGCACUAAUUAUUAUUAAAAUAAUUUAAAAAUUAUUUAUAAAAAAUUAUAUAUUUUUAAUUUUUAUAAUAACAGAGAAGAAAAGUAGAUUGGAUUAAAAAAAAAAUCUUAAUUACCUCAAGUCAGUCCAAAUCAAUAGAAAGAGAAAACCAUUAAAAUAAAAAAAAAUGGUAGGGUCAGCAUCCACCCAACCCCGCCGCCUUCCCUCUUCUCCCAUCCUCCACGUGGACUAAAACCACUGAGGAUUGAGGAUUCAUAAUAUGUACUAGUGCGCACGUUUCUAUAGAAAUAAAUAAAAUUAAAAAAUAAAAAAUAGCAGUUGUUACAGAAAAAUAUAAGAAUAAAAAUAUAAAAAAAAUUAAAAAAGAAUAAAAAAAUUAUAAGAAUAAUAAAUUUUAUUUAUAACAACAGUGGUUCGAGUGUGAAAUUACAGCUCAUAAAAGCUUGAGAAUUAAAGCUUCACGCGCCUCAUACUUUGAGCAAAAAAAUAUUAUCUAUUAAAAUUCGAAAACUAAAGUGUCAUAUGUGUUAUAGUUUGAGAAUCAAAAGUGUAAUUUAUCUUUUUUUAUAUUUUAAAUUAAGAAAAGAUAUAAUUGAACUUUAUUUGAGGAGAGAAUAUGUUAAACUAUGUAAUAAAUUUUGGAAUGUUUAAUUGUUAAAAUUAAAAGUCGACAAAUCAUAUUUUGAAUAUUUUAAAAUAUUUUAAAUGUGAAAUUAUUUGUUCAUCAGAUUAUAAAUAUGAUAGUGAAGUUUAAUAUUAAAAUUAAAAUAACAUACAGAAUUUUUCUAAACUACGAAUGAUUUUGAAUCAGCUAUCCAAUCUUUCAAAAUUUUAUUUUUACAAUCUGACUAUUUUAUAUGUUAGAUUUGAGUCAGUUAAUGAUGCAUUGACUUUAAAAUUUGAAUGUACCGUUUAGUUUUCCAAAUUUAAUUAGUACUUCAAGUAAUUUUCGCAACUAAAUUUAUUAAAUAAGCAGUUAACUUAAACUUCAUCCAUCGCUUUUUUAUUUUUUAUUAUACAAUUUAUAUCUAAGUGAUCGAUAUUAUAAAAUUAAAAUUUAUAUUUAAUAUAUAUAAUCUAAACUAUUUAAAAGUACGCAUAUAUUUUAAAUUUUUAUAAUAAAAAAAUAUUAAUUUUUUAAAAAAAUUUGCUUUUCAAAAUAAUAGAAAAAUUAAAAUUAAAAAUUAAAAAUUUUAAAAAUAUAUAAAAGGGGUGGUCCCCAGCCCGCUUGGCCCACGCGCACUUUGGCCCCCCGCCAUCUUCUUCCACUCCCUGCCAGCACCCCAAGCUUCCCAGCGCGUGCCUACUCUUCUCCACCUUCCACCGAACUCCGCGUGGACUUCUUCUUCCCCACGCAGCGUAGUCCCCGGCGGCGCCCGCACACACGCGCGCGCGCCACCCUGCGCCCCCCGCUGCGCUCGCACCCCGCCGCGCCGUCAGCGCUUCGCCGCCAUUUAUUAUCAAAACUGAGGAUUUCAAUAUAAUAUAAAGACUAUAGAUAGCUGUACAUAAUAUCAUAUAUAUAAUAUAUAAAAUUAUUAAUCAAAUUAGUAUUAAAAAAAGAGUAUUAUUAUAAGAUGAACAAAAUUAUAUCGACGAAUAAAAAUAGAACAUAGAAAAUGAUAGAUGAAUAGAUUAAAUGAAGAAUAGCAUAUAAAAUGAAGAAUGAUUAGUAGAUAUGAUGAGGAAAUAAGCAUGAAGAAUUGAUUUAAAACUAUAAGAAAAGGGAUGAUAAAUUAUAGAAAAAUAAUUAAUAUGUUAUAAAAAUAAAAAUAUAAACAUAUUCAUAAUAAAAUGGGUAAGUGAAUAGAGGGGAAGAGAAUUAAUCGAGUAUAAGAUGAGUAUUAAAUUAAUAAAGUAAGAAAAGAAAAAAAAGAAAAUAGUAUAUUUGAUAAAAGGAGUAUAUAAUAUUAAAGAUAUAGGAAGAUUGAUAGUGAAUAAAGAUUUUGAAUGGGAUAUAAUGAAAGUAAAAAGAAUGCCAAGGUAUAAGUAAUUUAAAGUGUUAUAAAAUUAUAAUUUAUAUAAUAAUAAUCAUGGGAUUAGUAAAUAAUUGAAUAAUGUUAUUAUAAAGUGAGAGUUAAAAUUGAAAAUGAUAUUUAUUUAAAUAAAUUAUAAUAUAAUAUAAAAUAUUUAAUUUUUUAAUAAUAUAUAUUAUAUUAUAUAUAUAUAUAUAUUAUAUACAGCGACUUCUAAUUUAGGACCAUUUUUUAUUGUAAUCAUAUAACAUGCCAAUCUAAGACAAAUUUUCACACGUCAUUUCACACUCUUUUUUUUCUAAUACUAAUUUAGAGAAAGAUAGUAUGCUAAUCGCUUCGUAUAUUUUUUUAAAAAUAAAUUUAUCUGAAAAUAUAAAUCAAGUUUUUUUGCAUUUAGAUUCCUGACAAAUUUAUAUUUUAAAAUAGCUCUAUCAAAAUUUAAUUUACAAAAAUGAUCCUGAGCCUGCCACGCAGGCGCCACAUCAGCGCACACGGGCAAGGUUGGGCCCUUGUGUUAAGUUGAACACGGUAAACCAUUCACCGUGUUCAAACACGGUGAAUGGGUUCACCGUAUUUAGUACUAUUUUUUGUUGUACGUAUUUUUUGUAUAUUGAAAAGUGGAAUAAGGAGUAAGGAUGUCAAUAGAUAUGGAUAUCCGAAAUAUUAUCCGAAUUCAAACCGAAAUAAAUUAUAUAUAUAUAUAUAUAUAAUAUAUAUAUAUAUAUAUAUAUGUAAUUUAUUUUUGUUUAUUUAUACAAUAUAUAAAAUAUUUAAUAAUUUUUAUUCCUUAGAUCUUCAUCCAACCUGUUUUAAAAAUAUAUACCGUUGAAUGAAAAUCUAAGGAAUAAAAAUUAUUAAAUAUUUUAUAUAUUGUAUAAAUAAAUAAAAAUAAAUUACAUAUAUAUAUAUAAUUUAUUCGGGUUUUGAUUGGAUAAUAUUUCGAAUAUCCAUUCCUAUUGACAUCCCUACUCCUUAUUCCACUUUUCAAUAUCCAUUCCACUUUUCACCGUGUUCAACUUAAUACUCUGGCCCCAGCCCCACCCGCGUGGCGCUGACGUGGCGCAUGCAUAGCAGAGAUAGGACCAUUUUUGUAAUUUUAAUUUUGAUAGGGCUAUUUUUAAAAUAAAAAUUGCUCAAAAGGCUAUUUGCAAAAAAAAACCCUAUAAAUCAAUCAGAAUUUAAAUUUGAAACCUCGGUAUCAAUCACUAAGUCUUUUGUCCUUUACGCCAGGAUGGUCAACAUCCAAAAAAUAAUUAUUUAAUCUUUAGAAAAAUUUUAAUUCUCAGAUGAAAAUCGUAAUUCUAACAAGUUAUGACUCUUUUUGGAUUGCAAACUUAGCAAUACUUCUCAUUAUAUAUAUGCAUAGCAUGCAUGAACUCCUUAUAAUUCAUACCAAAAGCAUCCCAAAGUUUCUAUGGCUCUUCUUCACAUGAUUGCCUCCCUGCCUUUUGUUGUUCUCCUACUACUCCCUCUUCUACUCCUCACAAGAAGAAAGGAGGGCAGCACAUCACUAAAACUUCCCCCGGUCCCUCCCAAGCUCCCAGUAAUCGGCAACCUCCACCAGCUUGGAAGACUGCCCCAUCACUCCCUCUCUCGGCUCUCGCAACGAUACGGCCCCCUCAUGUACCUAAAACUUGGCCAUGAGCCGACCGUCGUGGUCUCCUCUGCCAACAUGGCCCAGGAGAUCCUAAAGACGCAUGAUCUAGAAUGCUGCAGCCGACCGCCCCGCACCUCACAUACAAAGCUCUCCUACGGUUGCUCGGACAUCGCCUUUGCGGUGUACGGCGGGCCAUGGAGGGAGCUCCGAAGAAUUUCCAUCAUCGAACUUUUCAGCGCCAAGAAGAUCGCCUCGUUUCAAUCCAUUAGAGAAGAAGAGGUGGAAAGAACUAUGAGCUCGAUAUCCUCUUAUUCAAGCAGUUCUCUCCCUGUCGAUUUGAGCAAAGAACUGAUCGCGCUCACGAGCACAAUCACUUGUAGAAUGGCUUUCGGAAGGAGCUACCAUGAUGUUGGAAGCAGAUUUCAGAUGAUUCUGAAUGAAGCACAGGCCGUGCUCGGGGGCUUUUUCAUCGCGGACUACUUGCCGAUCAUCGGAUGGGCCGAUUGGCUCACAGGGAUGAGAGCGAGACUCGAGAAGAACUUUAUCGAUCUUGAUCGGUUUUACCAACAAGUUCUCGAUGAGCAUCUUGAUAGAGCGCAGCAGCAGCAGCGUGACUCUAGCGAAGACCUUGUGGAUAUUCUACUGCGCAUGCAGAAGGAUGAGAAAAGCUUGACCACAGACCAGAUCAAAGGAGCCCUUAUGGUAAGAAAUAUCCAAUACUGAAUCACAAAAAACAUUCUUCUAUAUUAUUCGACACAAGUUUACCCUUUUUUGCAGAAUGUUUUCAUUGGUGGGAGCGAUACAUCCUCAGCCACCACGGGAUGGGCGAUGACGGAGCUAAUGAGGCAUCCACAAGCGAUGGAAAAAGCUCAAGAAGAAGUAAGAAGCCUCGUCGGGAGCAAAGGAAAGGUAGAGGAGAGCGACAUCGACCAACUACACUACCUCAAGUGCGUUGUGAAGGAGACCAUGCGAUUGCACCCGGUGGUUCCGAUGCUUAUUCCAAGAACAACGUUGCAGCAUUUCAAAAUCAACGGCUAUGAUGUCCCGCCCAACACAACGAUACUCAUCAAUGCUUGGGCGAUUGGAAGGGACGGGAGUUACUGGGAAUCGCCGGAGGUGUUCAAGCCGGAGAGGUGAAGAGGUGGUGGGAUCUAUCGACUUUCUUAGAGAGAGAGAGAGAAAUAUAUAUAUUAUAUAUCCCAAUUAAAAUAUGUUCAAAGAUGUUUAUAUUAUUUACAGUUUAUAUAUAAGGAUGUUUUAAAUUAAAAGUAUACAACAGGAAUGUUUUCAGGACUAUAAAAAUUUAUACAGGGGCAGUAAUUUUAAGUAAUUUCUUUAAAUCAAUUAUUAUCUAAUUUAUAAAUUGGGAGUAAUCAAAAAUUGUAAAAAUAAGUAAAAUAUAAUAUGACAAUACAAAAAAGCUUCCUAUAUAAACACUACCAUUUUAACUUUUUUAUUUAUUAAGAGAUUGUUAUUGUUUAAACCCUCUGUAUAAAUUUUUAUAAUACUAAAAAUAUUAUUAUAUAUAUAUAAAACAUUCUCAUAUAAAUAAUAAGUAAUAUAAACGUUCUUAUACAUGCUAUAAUUGAGAUUAUAUAUAUAUGUUCUCUCUCCUACACACUCACCAGGUCGCACCCGGUGCGUAGUGUAUUCGAGGUCCUGGUACGUGUUACGGUAUUUGGGCACUUGAUGAACAAAAGCAAAAAGCGGCUCUAUUUCUACCUUUUUCUUUUCGCGAAAAAAAAAAAAUAGGAGUUUAGACCUUUCAUUAAAGAAAGCAUUUUUUAAUUAAAUGCGGUUUAGUUUAUGAUCUUUUUGAUAAAAGUCCAGCCUUUAAAAAAAUCAUUGUAAAUGCACUUUAAUUUUUGUGAGAAUCACCAUGAAUUUCUCCUAGUAACUUGACCAGGAAAAAUAAACUCCAUCAUUUGGUGGUAUAGGAUCUACUUACGUACGGAUUUUUGUUACCGGAAUGCAAAGAUUAUAGGGUUCGUCAAAUAUAGUAUAAAUUAACUUACUUAAAGUAAACUAAUUACAUCAUUAUAAAUUGUCCUUCAUAGUUGUCGAUUUAUGAAAGACCUAUUUUUUUUUAACGAGAUCGUCCACGCACCCAGUCCGGUCCAGCCAAAGGUCUAUAAAAAGGCGUUGUUUAACAGAAUUUUAUUAAUUCAUUUUACACGCUUAGAUUGAAUAUGACUCACAAGAAUUAAGAACUAUCUAAUUAAAAACAUGCAACCUCAUCAUCACUCUAGCUCGAACAUAUAUGUUUACUAACCGUAUAAUAUGAGUAUUAAUUCUAUCGGUCACUCUAUCUAUUGACUAUAUCCGUCUAUGUAGCUCUCUUACUAUCUAUCUAGCUUGUCUCCUCCAUCUAUCCUCGCGUAGAGUGAUCGAUUCUGCGCAAGACAUUUUAAUCGACAUCUGCGACGAUAUAAAUCACCGUUCUUCGGCUUCCCGUACAGAAAACACGUGCCAUUGCGGGCCACGGAGUAGGUACAGCUACAGGAGGAAGCAGCAUGGGCAGCCUUCAAGGGUCAGCUUCCUCAUUUCUUCCAACCGCUCGUACUAGAGCUGGCAAAAAUAGGGCUCCAAGAAGGGGCCUGUCUAGGACGCUGGAAGUGGUUUACCAUAGUAUAACUUCAGGAAGGGACGCUUGAGCUCUAGGCGCGAUAAGUACUNUUUUAGAAAAAUCUGAAAGCCAACUUGGCCUAACCUACAUUUCCCUUUCAUCUAGGAAGUAUUUUAUUUCUAUGUUAAUUUGAUAAAAGAUUCAUUCAACUAAAUAAGAUUUAAACUGUUUGGAGCAUUUAAUAUAAGACUCAUCUAGGAUUUACUGGCUCAAAUAAAAAAUCCAGUUCAAUGGUUUCUCAAGUACCGCUAGGUAGGGGUGUAAACGAACAGAACAUGAGCGAGUCGUGUUGUGUUCGGCUCGUUUAAUAAACGAGCCAAACAUGAGCUGGCUCGCGUUAAAGUAUCGAGCGAAAAAAUUCAGCUCGUGUUCAGCUCGUUAAUAAACGAGCCGAACACAAGCUGGCUCAUGAGCUGGCUAACGAAUAAUAAGUUAAAAAGAAUUAAAUUGAAUAUAUAUAAAAAAAUAAAUUUAUAAAAUCUUAUCCAUUAAAUUUUGAUCUAAUAGUUGAAACUUUAUAUAUAAAUGAAUUUUUUUAUAAUUGAGCUCGUCUUUAUAUUUUUAAUUUGCUAAAAAUUAAAUAAUAAAAAUAUAUAUUAUAUAUAUAAUUAUUUAUUUAUAUAUAAAAAUAUAAAUUAAAUAAAUUAUAUAAAUAUAAAAUAUAUGUAUUCGAGCUGUUAUCGAGCCGAACACGAGCGAGCUGACCCCAGCUCGUGUUCGACUCGUUUAUUAAACAAGCUAAAAAAUUCAGCUCGUAUUCGGCUCGUUUACUAAACGAGCGAUUCGAUCUCGGGCUCAUUUCGAGCCGAACACGAGUUGGAUUGCCAUCCCUACCAUUAGGGGUGUAAUGUGGGUUGUGCCAGACCGACACGACCCACACUAGCCCGACUAAAACGGGCUAGGAGCUGGCCCGGUUCGAACUGGUUUCAAAUUCGGGCUGGACGGUGCUGAGCCCAAGCUAUCUAGCCUCCAGCCCGAUAUGACCCUUUGGUCUGGAAGGCACGAGCCGGGCCGUGCUCCAGGCCGACCUCUUAAAAUAGUAAUUUUUCUAUUUUUUAAAAAAAUUAAUAUAAAAUCUAAAAAUAUAAAUAAUUAUAUUUAAAUAUAUAUUUUGAUUAGAUAUUUAAAAUUUAUAAAAAUUAUUAUAAAACAAUAAAUAUUUUAAAAAUUUAAAAAAUAAAUUUGUAUUAUUUUUUUGAAAUGAAUUUUUGGUCCAAUGAACUAAAAACUGUUUGGUCUAUUGGACCAACAUCACUCUUCCCAAAGUAGCAAACCUUGGGCGGAGAGCUCCUGGGGAGGAGAGCCAACUAGGAGCUCAGACCCUUGGGGUCCGGGCCGUGCUAGCCUGGUUGGCAUGGCCCAAGCAGGCCGUGCCAUGUCGGGCCACUCAUUUCUCCUCGGCCUAGGCUCGCUUUAGACAAUGCUAUGCUGGAUUGUCAAGCCGCAAGAGGUAGGCCGGCAUGUGGCCGUGCCGUGCUGUGCUGUGCUUAGCCCGGCAUGUGGUCGUGCCGCUAAAGUUGCAAUUAUACCAUUUAUCAAAUAUAAAAAAGAUAGAAUAUCUAAGAGAUUAUUUGGUUUCACGCAGCAAUAACUUGUGUAACUGUAUUUUCAUAUCCAAUUAUCUAUGGAGAUAAUUUUAUUGUUUAAAUUGAUGCAAUAGAAUCCAAAUAAACUACAAGAAAUGAUUCACUACUUUAUUUUAUAAAAAAUAAAAAAGAUCUUAACCGUUGAUUAAUAAAGGUUAAAAAUGUCAUUUAAUUAUGUAGCAGGUUAAAAAGUUAUUUCAUUAGAGGAUAUUUUUCUAAUGUAAAAAAAAUUAAGAAAGUUUUGAUUAAUAUCCUAAAUUUAGCAUUAAUUUUAUACUAAUUUAAGCAUUAAUUUAAGAUUUGAUUGAUAUCUCAAAUUUUAGGCAUUAAUUUUAGAAAUUUUAGAAUUCUUCUAAUUUAGGCAUUAAUUUAAAUUUUAUAAAAUUUAGAAAUAUAAAUAUUUCUAAAUAUGUUGAAUUUAAAUAUUUAAUAUUUAAAUUAAAGAAAUUUUGUGUUACUAUUUUAACAAAUUUAUUGUUAAUAAUAACGAAUUCAACAUAUUUAAUUUGUUUAAGAAAACUUUUAAAUUCCUCUAGUUUAGAUAUUAUUUUUUUUAUCACAAACUUUUUUAAACAAUUGAAUGUAGGUAAAUAAAAAAUUAAAUUCAAUGUAUUUAUAUGUUAUAAUGUAUUUUAAUGAAAUAUCUAUGGAUUACGAAUAUAAAAUGAUAAAAUAUCUGUGAAUUAUAUAUGUCAAUGGAUAUGGAUACUCAUAAUUUUAUCUGAAUUCGAAUAUAAACUCAAAAGCAAAAGCAGUGAAUUUAUCUAUGCUAAAUGGAUAUAGUUUUAAAUAUGGAUAUCAAAAACGAAACCCGACGAAUUUGAAUUCGGGUAUGGAUUUUAAUUGUAUUUGACCCGAAGCCGAAACCGACCGGAACCCAAAUUUAUUACGUUAUAUAUAAUAUAUAUAAAUGUUCGAUGUUAUAUUUGAGUAUAUAUUUUAAAAUUUAGAUUUAAUUUAAUAUAUUUUAAAAUAUUGUAAAGAGAAAUAAAUAUUUCAGGUUCGGAUUUUCGGGUUCGGGCUAGUGUUUGGGUUUUGAAUUUUUAGUGAGAUACGGGUGUGUAUAUAAUUUUCUAAAAAGUCAUCGAAUUUGGGUUUGGGUUCGAGUUUUGGGUUUGAUAGUCAAGUUCGGGUUCAUGUUUUUGAAAAUCCGCCUCGAAUCCUACCCUUUUACAUCUCUGCAGUGGAUGAAAAAAAAAAAGAUAGAGAGAGAAAAAGCAAACACAAAGAGAAUAGAGAUUCGAUAAUAUAAUGAAAAUAAAAUUAUUAAAUUGCCCAUUUUCAAAGGACUAAAAUGCCUUUUUUGGAGUACCUGGAAACCGGUGUCCCUCUCAAAGUGACCUGCUAUUGCAGGUUACAAUUUUUUAAAAAUUAAAUCUGAGCUGUUGAAUUGAAUUGAAAUGAAUGAGCUGUAUAAAAAAAAAUAAGUAUAGAAUCACUACUCAUAAACUACAGUUUGAAACUACCAAAGAAAAUUCAAUUAUUACAAUAGAAAAAAUCUUACCUAAAUUAACCACUAUUUUAGCUACAAUAGUUGUAAAGAAUAAUCUUAAAUAAAAGACAAACUAAUCUAUCUAAUCAUUUAACCUUUUCUUCAACAAUGAAUAUAAUCUCAUAGCUCCAUGCAUGUAUAACCGUAUACAAUUUGUUAAUACAAUUUUUAGUUAUGCGCAACCUUUUGAUUUUGGAGAAUAAAAAUAUAACAGCUCCAAUUAUUAUUUGUAUUAAAAUUGGUCGAAUAUAGUAAAAAAUGCUAUAAAUAUAUUAUAUAAAUGGUUGCGCAUAACUAAAAAUUGUAUUAACAAAUUGUAUACGGUUAUACAUGCAUGGAGCUAUGAGAUUAUAUUCNUAAAUUAACCACUAUUUUAGCUACAAUAGUUGUAAAGAAUAAUCUUAAAUAAAAGACAAACUAAUCUAUCUAAUCAUUUAACCUUUUCUUCAACAAUGAAUAUAAUCUCAUAGCUCCAUGCAUGUAUAACCGUAUACAAUUUGUUAAUACAAUUUUUAGUUAUGCGCAACCAUUUAUAUAAUAUAUUUAUAGCAUUUUUUACUAUAUUCGACCAAUUUUAAUACAAAUAAUAAUUGGAGCUGUUAUAUUUUUAUUCUCCAAAAUCAAAAGGUUGCUGAGAACAAUAAUCUUCGGCCUCGUUUGAUAUUUUUACUGCUCUCAAACUUUUUUCGGUUUCAAAUGCAAAUUAUAAUUUAUGUAUGAUUGGAUGAUGCUGGGAGGGACUUAAUUAUGUUUGUAGUUGCUAUUAGCUUGUAAGGCAUCUUGAAAACAUCUUCUCAAGAAUGGAUUUAAUUAUGUUUGCACUUGCUACUUAGCUUGUAACUCAUAUUGAAAACAUCUUUUCAAGAAAUACAAAGAAGUGGGAAAAUUUUACUUUUUUUUUUUUUUUUUAAUUACUUUGGUCGGAGAAAUCCUUGGACGGUUAAGUGCAAACAAUUAAUGUGAGUCCAUCAGAUUAUGUUUAAGAAAUAGAAGAUAAUAAUAAUAAUAACAAUCAAUGUGAGUCCAUCAGAUUUUUUUUUUUUUUUUUCAGGUCCAUUCCAGCGGAAGCCUAGUUGCUUUCACAAUUGCUAAGUUCAAACUCUUUAUAAAAAAAAAAAAAAAAAAAAAACAAUACAAAAUGUGGUCCUAAUUUAAUAUUCUCGUGUCCACGCCUAUCACUGUUCUGAGAUAUAAACGACAAUUUGAUAUGGACAGAGGAGAAAGAGUCAAAACAAAAAAUAUAUAGAAAAAAGAUCAUUAUGUUUCGAGCCAAUUAAAUAUUUUUUUUUAAAAGAAAAGUGCAAUACAAAAAAAAUGGUUGGGAAGUGUGGUAACCUAUUAUAUAGCAAACUAGCAAUUGUACUUUAUCACCUAUAUUUCAAGCCAAACAAAAUUGUCAUUUAAAAAGAAAAGUAUAACAAAAUUAGAUUAAAUUGACUUGGGUCAUGACGUUGAAGUGCUAUUGUCGCAUCCUAGACUUGUGUGUCCCUAAAAUACUGUUUGGUUCGGAUAUAAGUAAGAAUUAGCUAUUACAGAAAUAGAUAUAAGUAUGAGAAUAAAAAAAAUAGUGCUUGGAUGAAAAUUGGGUUGUUCCCGAAGAUAAGAAUAAUUUAAGAUAAUUUUAUAUAGAAAAUGGAGGUAUUGAUGGGGAUAAUCGAGAACUACUAUUCUCGGAUAAAAAAUAAGCAUUUCGGUAUAAAGGGGAGGAUAAGGAUCUAUUCCUAUUCCUAUUUCCUAACCAAACGUUGCCGCACCAAAAAGAUGAGUGGGAACAAAUUGUUCCCGCCCAUGUGGCCAUGUAUACCGGAUAUGGGUGGACCAUGUGUGGCUCCCACAACCCCGGAGAGAGAGAGAGAGAUUCAUAUUUUAAAUUUAAAUUGAAAUUUAACUUUUUAAAAUUUAAAAUUUAAAAUUUUAAAUUUAUAAUUUAAAAUAAAAUUUUAAAAUUUAAAUUUAAAAUUUCUAAUUUGAUAUUUUCAGUUUUUAAAUUUUAAAAUUGAUAUUUUAUAUCUUUCAAAUUUAAAUUUAAUAUUAAAUUUAAAAUAUGAUAUUUAAACUUAAAAUUUUGAAAAUUAAAAUUUUAAAUUUUAAAAUUUAAAAGUUAAAAUUUUCAAUUUAAAAUUUAAAAAUUUAAAUUCAAUUAUAAGAAUAAUAUUAUUAUUUUUUAUUUAUAACCAUCAACUAUUUCUCUUCUUUUCAAUAACCAUCCAAACAUAAUUUUUCUAGUUCCAAUCUAUACUCAUAUUUUCAUUCAAAUUAAAAAAAUACUCUUGUUCUUACAAAAAUUUAUAUUUGUACUUAUUCCCGAUAUAACUAGUUUCUAUUAAUUCCCGAACCAAACCAAACGAAGCCUUUUAAAAUGUCUGGAUGCAUGACUAUAUAUGUAGUGCACAUUUUUUCUUGCACACGCAGACACGGACUGAGAACCUUAUCAAAAUCACAGCGGAUUAUAGGAUUAGCAUUGCCUCCUGAGCAUUUACGUGUCUAGUUGGAAUUCAGUGAUAAUAACAGCAAAAUUGCUAUUUACGUUAGACUAGAUGACACCUCAUGCACAGCACUAGUACGAAAGUCCAAUUUUGAGAUAUUAAGAUUUCAUCUUGUACCGACCAUUCCUACAGCAAGUGAUAAAAGAUUUGAUGAUUGAUACUCGAGAUCCCAAGUUUGAAUUCUACUUGAUUUACAUUUUUAACUAAAUUUAUUUCUAAAUAAAAUAAAUAAAACGGAUAGCGUGCUAUUUAUCUCUCAAAAAAUAAAAAAAAAAGAUUUCAUCCUGUGCACGAAUUUCAACUCACCUCCUCAUUUUUCAAUUCCCCAGGAUAGCAAUAUUCUUCUAUAUAUUCAGCAAGUGAGAGUAACUUCAUAAGAAAAGGCAGAUACGUAGAUGGAAAUCCCAUGUCGAUUAAACAAAAACACACAAAAUUUCAGCCUUCUGAUAUGGUCACCAUUUUUUCUUAAUGUUAAUUCUAUAUAAUUUAAUAUACUGACAGAAUGACUAAUUAUUUUGUAAUAAUUUUUGGCCCGUAAUCAAUGAAAACUCAUUUUUACAAAAUUUGAAAAUAGGAAAAAAUGCUUCUAUUUUUUUAUUUUGGGUUACCAAACAAAUAUAUAAAUUGGAUGUAAAAAUUAUAAGCAAUUUAUUAUUUUCUCUCACACUAAUUUAUGUAGAAAAUUUAAUUUUUUUAAAAUACAACUACCAUGUAUAAAUCAAAUCAUAGAGCUUUUAUGAUAGACAUAAAGUAAUGGUGUGCAACAUCAAAAUUAAGAAACUCCCGGUCCACCGUGGUAUGUAAAUUUUAACGUUUAUCCAAAAAUUCUAAUCUUUCAUUCUAGAAUUUAAUUUUUUUAAAAAAUUUAAUAUAUAAAAAUUUUUAAUAAAGUCAUGAAUAAAAGUAAAAUCAAUAUGUGACGGCGGACUGAAAGCCAUUCAACAAUACGACUUUGUUCGAGAGCCACCCACUUAAACUUUGUUCGGCUCCCCCGACUGGAUUCUCCAUAAAUGAGAUUUUUGUGUACUUAGGUGUCAUGCAUGCAUGAGAUUUUUAUGUACUUAUUAGGUGUCCGCCACAACAUUUCUUCAAAUUGCAUCUGCCAAGAUACUUUGGCCUGCUAAUGAUCUAAUCUACGUCUUAUUCAACAUUAUUGAUGUGUGUCAUACUCGCCGGUUAAAGACAACUCUUAUAUCAUUUCCACCUUAAAUAACAUAAAAUAAGAGAAAUACUACAUGCACCUGAAAAUACAUUUAAAAACAUUAUUAAAUAAUGAAAUUUGCAUAUUUGGUAAUCAUGUACUUUUAUUUCAAAAAACUGAAUAUAAAUUAGGCACAUCAUCAAUUUUAAAACCUAAACCAUUCACCAACUCUGAUAUAUAUACAAAUCUUAUUUACAAAAAAACAUAAAUAUGUCCAUACAAGGAGGCGAUGGUCUUAUUUGGAACUGCAGAGUACUGCUGCGUUGUUUUAUAAUUGUGGUUUCAAUUGCGCCAGCAAUGGUAGCAUACAUUAAAAUCUACCUAAAAGCUUCUUUUUUAGGAGAAUUAGAAGUUUCAAAUCAAAAGUUUUCCUAAAAAUCUGAUUUCAACUGUGCUGCAGCAGUUUAUUGGUAACGUUUUGGCAGAGGCUAAAAUAUGACAUGGAUCAUAUUACAUACCAGCGAUGCUACAUUUAAGACCAUUUUUUAUUGUAAUCAUACAACAUGCCAAUCUAAAGACUAAAAUUGUCACACGUUAUUUCACACUCUUUUUUUAAUACUAUAUAUUUUAGAGAAAGAUAGAAUGCUAACAGGUUCGUAUAUUUUUUUUACAAAUAAAUUUAACUGAAAAUAUAAAUUAAUCAACUAGGAUUUAAACUUGAAGCCUCGGUGUCAAUCACUAAGUCUUUUGCCCUUUGCGCUUGGGACGGUCGACAUCCAGAAAAUAAUUAUUUAAUCUUUAGAAAAAUUUUAAUUCUCAGAUGAAAAUCGUAAUUCUUACGAGUUACGACUCUUUUUGGAUUGCAAACUUGGCAAUAUUUCUCAUUAUAUAUGCAUAGCAUGCAUGAACUCCUUAUAAUUCAUACCAAAAGCAUCACAAAGUUUCUAUGGCUCUUCUUCACAUGAUUGCCUCCCUGCCUUUUGUUGUUCUCCUACUACUCCCUCUUCUACUCCUCACAAGAAGAAAGGAGGGCAGCACAUCACUAAAACUUCCCCCGGCCCCUCCCAAGCUCCCAGUAAUUGGCAACCUCCACCAGCUUGGAAGACUGCCCCAUCACUCCCUCUCUCGGCUCUCGCAACGAUACGGCCCCCUCAUGUACCUGAAACUCGGCCAUGAGCCGACCAUCGUGGUCUCCUCUGCCAACAUGGCCCAGGAGAUCCUAAAGACGCAUGAUCUAGAAUGCUGCAGCCGACCGCCCCGCACCUCACAUACAAAGCUCUCCUAUGGUUGCUCGGACAUCGCCUUCGCGGUGUACGGCGGGCCAUGGAGGGAGCUGCGAAGAAUUUCCAUUAUCGAGCUUUUCAGCGCCAAGAAGAUCGCCUCGUUUCGAUCCAUUAGAGAAGAAGAGGUGGAGAGAACUAUGAGCUCGAUAUCCUCUUAUUCAAGCAGUUCUCUCCCUGUCGAUUUGAGCAAAGAACUGAUCGCGCUCACGAGCACAAUCACUUGUAGAAUGGCUUUUGGAAGGAGCUACCAUGAUGUUGGAAGCAGAUUUCAGAUGAUUCUGAAUGAAGCACAGGCCAUGCUCGGGGGCUUUUUCAUCUCGGACUACUUGCCUAUCAUCGGAUGGGCCGAUUGGCUCACAGGGAUGAGAGCGAGGCUCGAGAAGAACUUUAUCGAUCUUGAUCGCUUCUACCAACAAGUCCUCGAUGAGCAUCUCGAUAGAGUGCAGCAGCAGCACCAGCAGGACUCUGGCGAAGACGUUGUGGAUAUUCUACUGCACAUGCAGAAGGACGAGAAAAGUCUAACCACGGACCAGAUCAAAGGAGUCCUUAUGGUAAGAAAUAUCCAAUACCGAAUCGCAAAAAACAUUCUUCUAUAUUAUUCUACACAAGUUUACCCUUUUUUGCAGAAUGUUUUCAUUGGUGGGAGCGACACGUCCUCAGCCACCGCGGGAUGGGCGAUGACGGAGCUAAUGAGGCAUCCACAAGCGAUGGAAAAAGCUCAAGAAGAAGUAAGAAGCCUCGUCGGGAGCAAAGGAAAGGUAGAGGAGAGCGACAUCGACCAACUACACUACCUCAAGUGCGUUGUGAAGGAGACCAUGCGAUUGCACCCAGUGGUUCCCAUGCUUAUUCCAAGAACAACGUUGCAGCAUUUCAAAAUCAACGGCUAUGAUGUCCCGCCCAACACAACGAUACUCAUCAAUGCUUGGGCGAUUGGAAGGGACGGGAGUUACUGGGAAUCGCCGGAGGUGUUCAAGCCGGAGAGGUUCAUGAAUAGCACGGAUCUCGAGUUCGCAGGGAAGGACUUCAAUAUGAUACCAUUCGGUGAAGGUCGCAGGAUCUGUCCGGGGAAGAACCUCGGGAUAAAAACGGUCGAGAUCAUGCUCGCCAACCUUCUUUACUCCUUCGACUGGGAACUUCCGACGGGUACGACGAAGGAGGACAUCGACAUGGAUGAGACACCGGGCGUUACCGUGCACAAAAGACAUGCCCUUCGGCUUCUUGCCACUAAAU
rnacentral:lncRNA from 1 species